rnacentral:lncRNA from 1 species
UGUAUGCCAAUCUCUCCUUUUAUUCAAUCACCCAACAACAACAUGAUGCACGACUCAACAACACAUGUAAGAAGAAACUAUACUUGGCCACCACGUGAACAAGCACACUUAUGAUUUACAUACUGAGGUUACUAAUUUAGACAACACAACAUAAACUGAUGUACAAGACAGAGACACAAUUGACUUCAUCAUAGCCAGACAACAUGGAUGAGAACGCGGCUGCUCUCACCACUUUUGAGGCCACUUCUUAUUUCUUAGGCUGCGGCUGCUUCUUCUUAGCCAUCAUCUCUUUUUCUGAGUCAGCCUCACGUUUAUCCUACGGUUACGCCCCUUCUUAGGAUUCCUUCGUUGUGCCCCCGGCUUAUUGGUUGACGGUUGCGUUGGCCUGUUAGGGGGAACCGUUGUACCUGGAACCUUUGGACCUGACUUGUCCAUGACGCCUCCUCCCCUCCUCCUCCUCCUCCUCCUCCUCCUCCUUCUUCUUCUUCUUCUUCUUCUUCGCUUGUGCAAGGUAGCUGAGGUGAGGUGGAUGUGGUGUUUGUUUUGCACCGGUUGGUUUGUGGAAUCCUGCAGCAACGGCGCGCGCAUAUAUAUAGGAGGAUUAAGGACUUGGGAAAGCGCUCUGGCCGGACAAGGUGGUUUCAUCGAAGGAAAAUGAUUUGGUGGCAUCCCCAGUGCUGCUGUUAGUCAGUCUCUUUUGUGUCGUUUUGGGGAGUAGAUAUGUAUAUUUGAUUCAUUUGUUAUGGGUGGAUAGGUAUGCAGUUGAGUCAGUGGUCUUCGUUGCUGACAGUUGAUCUUCAUUUCUUCUUCUCAUCCUCCUUGUACUAUAGCUACAUCAGAAUAAGUGUUGGUGGUCAAGUUUUACUAGCAUAUACCACACGGCUUGUUACUUGUUAGGCCAUCUUCAACGGCUAUCCGUGGACAAAGAGGAUCAGUCCGCGGACACAAAUUUGGGAGCCGGCUAUCCAACGCUGCACCAUACAUUUGAAACACUUUGUCAACAAAGCAGAUGUACCUCACUCAGACACAUCAGAUUACAUAUAAACCUGGUGAAAAACAUUUAUAUUUUUGACAUAUUCUAACUAAAAAACUAAAACUAUGUGCAUGUACCACCACACGGAGGUCCACUACCUUGACACGGAUACAUUACACUAGUCUACGAUCGGCCGCGGAGUGUCCCUUUGUCUUCCCCUUGUCAGGCAGUCUGGUGACUCAUCGGAUUGCUGGGAGCCCCGGAGGUAUAUUCCUCCCCUGUAUCUUCCCUAUGUCUGGCUGCGCCGCUUAUCGGAGUGGCAAAAAGGGUGCUUCAGUCGAAAGGGAAGGGGGAAUCCGCUUCCGUGAAGCGCGGAUCAGGGUUGGUGUUUGGGGCAGGGGAAGAUGGUGGCCUGCGAGACAGGGCGAGACAUUUGGUGUGCAUGCGGCGAUGCUGCGGCGGUGGCCUUCUAAGGACCCAAGUGGCGGCGGGCUCCCAUGUUCUACUUUUCCUCGAUUUUGUCGGCAAACGCGGACAUGCUAGCCGCCGCCUCGUCGAUCUCCACUAUAUAUGAGAUGCCUAGUAUAUAAGUGUCCUACUAGGACACGACUUCAUAUUCUAUCUAAACACAAUACUACUCAGAGUCCAACUAUAACCUACCUUAUACACAAUAUUCCAUACAACUCUAACAACUCCGGCUGGGUCAAGGAAACCUCAUGCACGGCCGGCUGGAAGACGCGCUUCCACCAUGGAGAAUGGUUUGGUGGCGUUCAGAGUCAGUCUCGUUUGUUUUGUUCUGUUUUCAGGAGUAUGUAUGCACAUUCGAUGCAUUUGUCAUUGACGGAUGGAUGCGGUCGGGUCAAAGGUCGUGGUCGUCUCCGCGUCAGUCUUCACUUCUCCUCCAUCUCCUCUUCCUUAUACACCUACAUUAGAACUUGCGUUAGGUUAAGUUUAGGAAGCAUACGGAAUUUCUUUUAGUUAUAAUCAAAUAGAUUAAGAUAUCUUGCAAUCACACCAUGUCAUAGGCACAUGUGAUUUUCAUGCAAAUUAUUUCUUUGACCUGCUAUCACCAGCAACUGCCAGCCUGAACCAUUUUAUAUCAAUCCAAACCAAAACGAGCUACCUGUACAAGAUGGAGAUAAUUGCAACAAAUUCAGACCGUGUACGUCUAGUGCAUCUGUUGAUAGCAUUUAACCUGCCAUGAUUCUUUGAGGAUGCAUGUUGGCCUAUGCAUCCUUUGAUUGGAUGGACUUCUCUAAAUAUUCACUACACAAGUCAGUCAUUCUCAGAAGUGGACGGUCCAGCGAAUUUGGAAGGGUUAAGAACAUGGUUAAUAGUAUAGCCAGCUGCCAUGUCAUCUACAGCUCAUUUUAUAGUCAAUAUGUACAAUAUUAGAUCAAAAGAGUGUACUACUUUUUUAUUAUGUGGUCCACCUUUCAUUCUCACAAAGUGCCUAGGAGCACGUGCUAGAGCUCGCUCUUCAUGAAGAGCCCGCUUAUCUUCUUUCUCCUCUUCUCUUUACUCCAACUAAGCAGAAAUAUACUAGUUUAUUCCUUAUAGCCCGCUGACUCAGCUCUAUUGUACUUGCUCUAAGGAAAGAAAAUUAUCUAUUGGCUAUGGCUGAGACUAAUUCUGACUGAUGUUGUUGAUGUGUCUGCUAAUUUGGCAAAAUUCCUCGCUUGUCCAAUUGCAGCAUCUCGCUCUAGUAGUAGUCCAAGUCUCUCAGCCUCAAAUACGAUGCAUAUGACUAUUUUAAUGGAAAAACCUGUUGGCGUGUUGCGUCAAAUGGCACAGACCGGCCAAGCUGGGCCGGCCCAUUAAGAUGUACAGUUGUUCUCCGUCUUGGGGAACCUUUCGGAAGGUUCCAGUCUGGUUUUCACCGUUUUUUGUUUUUCUUUCCUGGUUUUCAUUUUCUUUUUUUCUUAAAUAUUGGUCUUUUUGGUAAAAAAAUAUCUGUUAUAAAAUAUCAAAUUGUUCAUGUUUUACAAGUUUAUUGGAAUUUCUAAAAAUGUUUUCACUUCCAAAAAUUCUUCACAAACUAAAAGAUGGUCAUGUUAUUAUAAAAAAUGUUUGUAAUUUUUUAAAAUGUUCCUGUAUUUAAAAAGUGUUCACAAAUUCAAAAAAUAGUCAGGAACUUCAAAAAAUAUGUUUAUUGUUCAUUUUUUAAAGGCACAUCUUCCAAAAAAAUAGAUUCUUCAUAAUAAGGUUUAUGUUUUUAAAAAAAUAAAUCCACCAAAAAUAUGUUUACUAUGGGCAUUUGGGGCAUGUUUUGGGGUGUUGUAACGGGGCUUCCACCCUGCUAGUGCAUGUUCUAUGCUGGUUUCAGUCUAACCCGCCAAGAGUGUUUCCUAUUGUACUGCUUGCUUUCUUUCUAAUAAAGAUCGGCCAAGGGCCCUUCGAGAAAAGAUCUUCCCCUUUAAUGGCGGAUUUGGUUUUUUAAUGGGAGGAAGAACAACAUACCAGGCUACCAACUCUCCCAUUAAGAGUAGAGAUUCCCGAGAAGCCGCUGGCGCUAGAUAUAUGACCGCAGCCAGGCGAGAAAGACGCGGGAUUCUAGAUGGGGAUAAGGAACAAUAUUGGUGGAGAUGAAGAAGGGUUGGACGAAACCAAAAUUAACAUAUCCUUGUCAAAACAAGAAACCAAAAUUAACAUAUGAUGAUGAAGGAAAGUACAGGGGAUGUGUGGGUAAGGGAAGGAAAGCAAAUAAUUGAUCGAAUCGGCACCAGGUUUUGUUGGGACACACGUGAUUUCUUGUUAUGAUGUUCGCACUUGGGAGAAGCAGAACAUAGCGAGCUAGAAUGGUCAUGCCAGCUGCUGCUUAGACAGGCAUCUCCGGCGUGCUGGGAAUCAAUGUCCCGACAUGCUCGAAACAGGAGGGCGCUGCACCGUGUUGGAACUGGACAACCACCAUGUUGUAACUGUGGUUGAACACCAGUGGUGGGGACAGAUGCGAGGGACCUGUCCUGUGAGGGCGGCAACACCACGGCGAGCGGUAGCUAGCCGGUAGUGCUUCGAGAAUCGGUCGGCGCACGUCCAUCACAAGUAUAGUGGCGCUAGCUAUCGACUCUUUUCGAUCAAAUGGGAAGGAGCGAGCACUGUGUGAGGAAGGAGACGAAGAGAAGAAGAAUCGAAACGUGCCAGUGGGGCCAAUCCGGCUGGCACCAAGCGACCAACCAAAUUUUGGGCAAGUCGACCGGCGCCUAGCGCCGCCCUUGGAAAUGUCAUUGUAUCGAUGCUAACGUAUUUUUCAAUGUACUGGAUGCACUCAUGGAACAUGUAUGUCAAUCCUUCCUUUUAUUCAAUCACCCAACAACAACCUAAUGCACGACUCAACAGCACAUGUAAGAAGAAAGUAUACUUGGCCGCAACGUGAACAAGCACACUUAUGGUUUACAUAUUGAGGUUACAAAUUAACCUGCCACAACAUAAACUAACGUACAAGACAGAAACACAAUUAACUUCAUCAUUGCCAGACAACAUGGAUCAGAAUGAAAAAAAAUAAAAUAUAGUAAAAAGAACAUGGAUCAGAACGCGGCUGCUCUCACCACUUUUGAGGCUAUUUCUUAGUAUUUCUUAGGCUGCGGCUGCUUCUUCUUAGCUAUCCUCUGUUUUUGCGAGUCAGCUUCAGAUCUUUCCUACGAUUACGCGACUUUUUAGGUUUCUUUGGUUGUGCUUUGGCUUAUUGGGUGGCGGCGGCGUUCGCUUGUUAUGGGGAACCGUUGUACCUGGAACCUUUGUACCUGUCUUCUCCAUGACGCCUCCUCCUCCUACUCCUCCUCUCCCUCCUCCUCCUCCUCUCCUUCUUCUUCUUCUUCUUCUUCUUGUGCGAGGUAGAUGAGGUGAGGUGGAUGUGGUGUUUGUUUUGCACCGGUUGGUUUGUGGUGUUCUGCAGCAACGGCGCGUGCAUAUAUAUAGGAGGGAUAAGGAAUUGGGAAAGCGCUCUGGCCGGACAACGUGGUUUCAUCAAAGGAAAAUGGUUUGGUGGCGUCCCCAGUGCUGCUGUUAGUCAGUCUCUUUUGUGUCGUUUUGGGGAGUAGAUAUGUAUAUUCGAUUCAUUUGUUCUUGGCGGAUAGGUAUGCAGUUGAGACAGUGGUCUUCGUUUCCUCUUCUCAUCCUCCUUAUACUAUAGCUACAUCAGAAUAAGUGUUGGUGGUCAUAUUUUGCUAGCAUAUUCCACACGGCUUGUUACUUGUUAGACCAUCUUCAACGGCGACCGCAGAUUACCUCCAACAUCCAUCCAUGGACAAAGAGGAUCAGUCGUCCGUGGACAGAGAUAUGGGAGCCGGCUAUCCAACACUUCCCGCAUACAUUUCAAACACUUUUUCAACAACCCGGAUGUACCUCAUGCAAACACAUCAGAUUUCAUACAAACCUAGCGAAAACAUUUAUAUUUUUGACAUAUUUUAACUGAAAAACGCAUGUACGACCACACAGAGGUCCACUACCAUGACACAGAUACAUUACACUAGUCUACGGCCGGCCGCGGAGAAUCCCUUUGUCUUCCCCUUGUCAGGCAGUCCGGUGACUCAUCGGACUGCCGGGUGCCAAGGAGGUAUAUUCCUCCCCCGUAUCUUCCCUAUGUCUGGCUGCGCCGCUUAUCGGAGUGGCAAAGAGGGUGCUUCAGUCGGAGGGGAAAUGGGAAAUCCUCUACCGUGAAGCGUGGAUCAGGGUUGGUUUUUGGGGCAGGGGAAGAUGGUGGCCCGUGAGACAGGGCGAGACAUUUGUUGUGCAUGCAGCGACGUAGCGGCGGUGGCCUUCCAAGGACCCAAGUCGGCGGGCUCUCAUGUUCUACUUUUCCUCGAUGUUAUUGGCGGACGCGGCCGUGCUGGCCGCCGCCUUGCCGAUCUCCAAGCUGGCUUCUUUUUCCAUCGACAAGGCGCGGUCCUGCGAACGAUGAUGUCAGAUGGCUCGUAUCUGGAGGGUUCGGCAGGCCACCCAGCCAGAUUUUAUACCGGGCUCUUCCUACACGCCGAAUGUCAUGAAAAGAGUGAAGAAAAUAGUGGAAGGAGGAGAUGGGGAGCGGAGGAGAGGUGCGAUUGUUGCCCGGCGUCUGGCCUCCUUUAAAUAGCGAGCAGGUGCGAGGAAAUUUCCCGUUGUUGUGUUUAAUGCUGACCGGAUCAUGAACAUAUGUUUGGCUGGAGUAGCUUUCUCGGCACACACGCGGAUUUAAUGGAGGCGUGUUCAGUCGGGCGUGCAGCGGGCGACGCCAUCGGCCAGCGUGCCACUUUAAUGCCAAAGCCAGUGAGACGUCGCGCUCGCUCUGGGAUAGCUUCAAUGUGGGAGCAAACGCUCAACGACAACAUGAAUGAGGACAGCUGACGCCGGGCAGGAACGCGUGCCGGUGAGGGUGUGGAUUGGCAUCGGUGGGCUAGGGUUUCCAAAAGUGGGCGUGGGAGCAGUCCAGACGCCUGCAAAGCCCCCAUGCUUGUCUUCGGUUUGUGAGAGAAAGUGCGUCUCAAGACUGAACGGACCGAUACAGUUGCAUGGCAAAACACGUCCCCUCCGCCUGGUCCAGACGUAUGUGGAUUUAAGGGUCGUCGUUGGAGAUGCCCUUACUCAUGAGCGAUUUUGACAUGGUUCUUCUUACCUCCUCUUUGACAUGGUAGGUAAGAAGGUAAGAGUUACUGACCAACUACUUAAUUAAGGGCUCAUAUCUAUUACAUACGUUUUCCCUUCAUACGAAAAGAGGAGGUUAGAGAAAUCAUGUGCACCUACGCCAUGCAUGAUUUAUGGCGUAAGUAUACACGUAGCUGCCGUUGUAUAAGAUGUUCAGGUAGAGCUUGAGUUUGGAUUAACUAAACCCAUUGUAAUAGAUCUUAGCUCAUUAAUUAAUGACUUGAUUAACUCUCACACUACUAGAAAAAGGGCUGUUAGUGGCGCACCUGUUUUUGCUAUUUGUAGUGCGCCACUAUUAACACGCCACUAGUAACAAAUAGUAAUGGCGCACCUCUUGUGCGCCACUAGUAUCCCAGAUAAUAGUGGCGCAUCAUACAGUGCGCCAUUACUAUGUCCACCAGUGCGCCAUUACUAUGCCUCCCAGGGGGCCAUAUUUACCUUGUGCUCUGAGUUACUAAUGGCGCACUUUCAGAUAAUGCGCCACUGAUGUGUUUAUUUCAGUGCGCCACUAAAGUGCAAUAUGGUGCGCCACUACAAUGAAUAUUAGGAAUUAUCUUUUUUUUUUCUUAUCUGAUAUUUGCACAGGUUACAAAAUACAUUACUGCACAGAAUAUAAACAGCACAACAUAUAAACAACAGAUUUAUUGAGUACAAUAGAAGAUUAGUCUCCGAAUACAAUUCAUCAUAUUAGCCUCCGAAUUCAAAAUACCGAACAAAGUUAUAACAUUACAAGCCUCGAGACCGCGAGUAGCGAGUUUGUCUUCACAUUACAAGUCGAUAUCGAUCAUCUAAACUACCCAUCACAUAGAAGAGAGCUGCGGUCAUCGCGAUGAAACUGGUCUUCACCCGGUUCCUCCAACGCUCCCUCCUCUCUCCGGCUAGUUAGCGCGCGUAUCUAGCUUCCGCCUCCGCCCUUGUGGUGUACCCUUUGUAACUGUUACCGCUGAAACGGUGAACCUGUCUCUGACACUCCUUCCAGUCAUCGUAGACUCCGGGAACCUUACCCUUGUACACAACAUACGACGGCAUAUCUAUGCACUAGACAAACAAAACGUUAGUAGCAAUUCACAGACAAUACAUAAGCAAUAUAUAAGUAUGCAACAAAAGGAUCGGAAGAGAAAAGCAACACAUUAAUAGCACGAUUCAUGGUCCUACUAAUAAAUAGCAUCGAUUACAUAUAAGUUGAACGACUGUCCAAACUAAAGAGACAUACAAGUUCAUUAAAGUUUAAUUACAACAUGAGCUAAUCGAUAUUUCAGAACUACAUAGCAUCACUGCUUUCGACUCGACUCAGGGACCGGAGCGUGGAUGAAGCCGCCGUCUAUCGUGAUGGUAAUGAAAUCACGGUCGUUGUCAGCCUGCAUUUGUAGCGUUGUUUUUAUCUCACUGUUGGACAGUUGAUAUCUAAGGUGGAACUGCCCCGAGGUACGAAGGACAUCUUGAUGGAUGAUUUCCGCAAACAACGAGUGGAUGCGAAAGAAUUCUUGUCUGAUGUCCGCGUCCUGAAUUACCGACAAGCGUGCGGCCCAAUCUUUGAGAUUAGUUGGUAGCAGAAGGUGAUUAUGGUCCCGUACAAUCGCCCGCAUGUGAUGGAGGGCGUAGUAGGCAUCCUUCUGACCGCCAGGCAGCUGCUUGACGCAGGGAAACAUCGUAUUGUGGGUGAACACGUGCUUGCCUUACCUACAAAUUGGCCUCCUGAAGGUGCCUCCAGAUCUGGCGUAGCCGGGGAGAGCUUCAUCAAGAACUUUCUUAAUAUUUGUGUAGUCUUUCUUUGACUGACGGUCCGAGUCAAAAUACGUGGCCAUGGAAUAUUUCGGGCUUAAGAGGAUGAGUGUGCAAUGUGUGUCACUGCACAAAACACGGAAUGUUAGAAAAAAAAAGAACGAUCGAAAUCUAAGAAAUCAUAUGUUACGGGUAUCUGGGUUCGCCAGAAUGACGCCUUCGAGGUAUGAACUCGCGACUUGCCGGUCCCCAGCGCUGCCCAAGAUCUUGGUACGCAUGUAGAAGGAGUCGACUAUCAUGAUGCCCGGGGUCUUGUCUCUAAUGAUCCGCAUCUCCAUACUGAGCCAAAAUAGCCGAAUGAAGGUGUAGUGCAGCGGAUGAAGGUUAAACAUAGCGAAGAUGUCAUCAAACCGCAGGACGAUCAUACCCCCGAUGGUGCUAUCGACAAAGCCCUUGCCCUCUGGCACCUUGGCCACGAAAACCGGGUAUGCCACAUCAUUCUCGGAGAGACGCCGCUUCUCCAAAGAAAGAACACUGUCAUGCAGACUCCGCAUAGCACCGAUUGCAGCAUUGAGAAGAUUAGUCGGUAGCAUCGGCCUACCCGCCACAUGCACCCUCCUCGAGAUAUCCUUAGGUGAAGGUGGCCCGUCCUGAGCACGGAUCGUACUCGGUGCCGGCUGGCUCGCACCCUUGUUAUUCUUUCUUUUCCAUCCUUCUUCUUCUGCUGUAAUGGGAUCGAGUUCUGCUCAGAGACCGCCUUCUUGAGUGUGUUGGGGUUGAUAAUAUUUCGCACCUCGGCUAUCUGAGGCUCGGUGAAGGCGGCAGCUGGAGGCGUCUCCUAAGAACUGAACACCAGACGAUGCCUGUUGCAAUUGGGUUUCUCCGCGGUACCAGCUUGAUCGCGGUGGUCUUUUGCAGGGUUGGGUUCUUGAGAAGGAGGCCCCAAGAAUUCGUCACCGUACCCAUGUUCGUUGAAGUACUUAUCGACGUUGGUAAAUGUACCGUCGUCGUCUGGAUCCUGUGCCAUAUGCAUGUCCGGAUCCUGUGCCAUAUGCAUGUUCAGCAUGUCCGGCAGCGUUGCGGGGGUCUUGCCAUGGCUUGGCGCCAGCACGACUGGCGGUGUUGUCUGUGGGGUGGUGUCCCCCGCCCCCAAACGAAUCUGGCAAUUCGGCCAAAGCAGGGGCCAGCUUAAGCAGGCGCUGAGGGUCAUCACAUCAUCUUCGUCGGCCCCAGGGGAUCGAAAUGGAGGUAACAAGUCGUCGCAGCCCGGCAGCACCCAAACCAAUUGAACCCUAUACACGGUGGGUGGCAUCAGAUUACCAUGGAACACGGGGUUGCCCGAUUGAACGAUUCUGGCCUUGGCGACAUCGAUCAACUCGCCACCCACGAAGUGCAGGAGAGUGCAUGGAACAUCGGCGGCGCCCUGCGAAAACAUGUAGGGCGUCAGGGAUGCCCAGUCAAAGGCAAGGAGAUGAAGUCAUCGGCCAAGAGGCUUAGUUACCAUGAUGGCGUCUUGCUCGGCUAAUGUCGAGGCACCGCCAACGGCGGGCGUGCAAGUGACAGAGGGCCGCUUGCUGCCGAGGUGCCGGCCGGCGUAUUCUUCCCACAGCCGAGUGCAUUAAGCUCCAAUGCCCGUGCCGGCGCCAGAGACACCAAUACUGCCUCCGCCGGAGACACCAAUGGCGCCGCCGGCGCGUUGUGCGAGUUGCUGCCCGUGAAGCUAGGAAUCGGGGGCGGCCCCUGUUGGCCGCCCGCAAUCCACGCCUGCAGCCCCUCAAUCAAGGUAGGCACAAUGGCGGUGAUCGUCGCUCCCAGUUGGUCUCGCACUUGCUCUUGGACUAUCUCCGGAAUCUGCGCCACUUGUGCCUUGAGUUCUUGAACCUCGCACUCCUGGCUUUCCGAGUUGGUCUUUCUCUCCUUUCGCCCAGCGUUAUAGUAUUCUGACCAUUUCGUGGACAAGCCUUUGCCGGCCACACGACCAGCUGAUGACAGCUUACUGAACUAAUCCUUGUGUUUCAUUAAGUUCAACGCCCUAUUUAAAGUGGUGUCCCAAGGGGAGCUCUGAGACGACCCCGCGCUACAGCUUUUAGUGUCUUGCGGAAGGAACGUCAACCAUUUAGAAAUUUGGCUUCAUUAAUUAGAAUGCAACCAUAUGGAGCUAAUUACGCGGGGGUGUAUUCCUUUCCAGAACAAGCUCAAGCACCUUGGUCUUCGGAUCCGUGGUAAGCUCCUUUAUUACCGGGUCCACCUUGUACCGGGCCCUGACAUAGUUCCUAGUCUACUUGUCACGGUAUUUAUCGAAGAGGGGCGGUAGGCCUUGCUCGGCACGCUCUGCGUCCUCCUUGUCCCAUAUAGGUUCCGCCACUUUGUAAUCGCCGGGACCGAUAUUUUGGACCCCUAAGUUCAAGUCCCGCAUAUCUUUCCCCCACUGACUUGAUUCCACGGCUGCGUUGCUCUCGCACUUGAUCUUGAACUCCCGGUAGUCAGCUUCGCUGAUCGAAGGAUUUGUAUCCUUGAUCUUCUCAUAACUAUCACCUCUUAGAAUCCUUCUCCUCACCGCGGCUCUCCAAGUAGCCAGGGCCAUGCUCAUCUUCGUGAGGGCGGAACUGUUCACUUUAUUCCCCGAGAGGCGUGUGUUUGCGAAGUCACCGGGGAACUUGUAUCGUUCGUGCAGCUUCGUGAAGAGGAGGUUGCGCAAAUUCCCUUGGUCACGAUGCCUUAGGUUCUCGGUGUUGAUCGAUACGGUGCUCCGGAGAAUGCACCCGAGUUGUCCCGAGUACCCACUUACUAAUUCUUUAGGCACCGUUGGAUGCCCACUGGAGGACACUUCAGUAAAUUCCUGCUUGAUGGUGCCGAGCACGUUUGGGCGCCGGUCCUUCUGUUGCCUCUUCGGUUGGCAGCCAUCUGUGCGUGCACUGCCAUCAUCAGUGGUGGCAUCCUCGGCGGCACCAUCAGUGGUGUCAUCCCCGACGCCACUAGGGGUUGUGUAGUCAGGAUCGGUGUCUUCCGCGGCGUCCUCAUAGCGGUGAGGUUCUUCCUGCAUCUCCUGGGACAGCUCCCAGAAUGCCUUACCCGAACCACCGGCCUCAUCGUUGUGGGCCAUGUUCGCUCUAAAUAGGAAAAAAGUUUGGUCAAAAAGUUGGUUAUUGUAAAGGAACAAGAUCUCUAAGUUGACCAAAUAACCUAAUUCUCGAGGAAUGUCACCAAAAAGUUGGUUAUUGUCAAGGAACAAUUGAGAGAUGUUUGUGAUAUUGUCUAGGUGUUUUGGGAUGGAACCUGUUAGUGUGUUGUUGCUAAGGUCCAAGUCCACGUACUCAAGGUCUAAGAUAAUUUAAUCAGGGCAAUUGCAGUGGAUUUGUGCACAAGCUAAGCUAGCUAAGACAGUAGCUUCCUUGCAACCCACAAAAGACAAAGGAAAAGGGGUGAAAAGGGGGAGAUGGUUAGCUUUGAUGAGCAGGCAUCAUCUUCCUAACCCCCUUCUUCUUGUCUCCUCUCACUAUCUCUCUCACACACAUGGCAAGCAAGGGUGUCUGAGUGUGUGAAAUAAUACUAAACUAAUCCAACCACUAAAGCACUAGAUCACUACUAUUGUAUAAUCUUUUUAUAGCUUUGUAUAUAUGUAUGGCUCCAAUGGGUGCCACUGCCAUGCAUCCCUCUCCUAUCAUUUAAUCAUGAUUAGCCCAUCAUUUUGUCUAGAGAUUAGUUUUGGUUAAUUAAUUAACUAGUGUGUGCCACAGCAGAGCACAGAUCUCCAUCUAGCUAGUAGGAGUAGCUUUCCAAGGCCUCUUUCCAAGGCUUGUUUCGGUUGAGAAUCGGGCACCUUCUAGGUCAAGAAAAUUGGGCAUGACAUUUGCUAAUUUUCUUGACCUAGGAGUGCCCCAUUCUCAACCGAAACGGAAAUUAAUCAACAUUUCAGGAGAAAGGGGCCAUUUCAAAAGAUCACAAGUAGCAGAAGCAUCACUUGACAAAAUCACAAGUAGCAGCAGCAUCACAAGUAGUACAGCAGCAACAUCAUCACAAGUAGUACAGCAGCAGCAGUGAAUACAAUGCGUACAGCAGCAGCAUCAUCAUCACAAGUAUUGUGAUGCCCCUUCAAACAAGAGUUUCUUGCUCUCUCUUUUUUUUUUGACAUGAACAAACAAGGGUUGCCAAUUGAAACUAACUUGUGAUGAUGUUGUUCCUUUAAAGUGCAGUUCAGUAUAUGUAACAAAAAUCAGGUGACAAAACUUGCACACCCCUCUCCGCUUAACGAGGCAAGGAAACAGUGCCAGGAUAGCAACCAAACACUGUCCAGGCACAGUUUAGGGAGGCUCCAAGCCAGACACGAUUCAGUGUGGACACUAUCCAAACACACCCUACAUGACUGUGGAUACUUGUAAAAACUUGGUUUAGCUCCUUUCACACAUAUAUAAGCAGUUGGGAAAAAGACACAAUUUCCUGUAAGAACUUGAAAAAGAAACUAUGCCAUAUGUACUUCAAGACUUCAAGUAUAUAGCCAUAAAAAAUAGUUCAUGCAUGUAUGAGCCGUGGAUCGUGCUGUUUCCGAAAAGAGUAAACCCACGGGGGGCAACUUACCUGUGAUUUCAGGCUAAUUGUAUUAAAAUUUGAAGCAACUACUAUCAGACAUGUAAAAAAAGGUGCUAUAUCUCUCUUGUGCUAUCUCUCUCUUGCAAAAAAGUGCAGUUCCUUUAAAGUUUCAAAUAUGCACUUGCAUUGCAUUUAAACAUGCCCAUUGGGUGUGGGUGAACCAUUCAGAACAAUCAGCCAUGGCAAUGUCACAUUUCAGCACCAAAGUGGCUUGCACUUCUUUUUAGUUGAACUUUUUUUAAUAGACAAACAACUAAAUGCUCAGAACUACUACUACUACCACUAGAUCAUUUUCCUCUAGAACAGAACCAAACAUUUUUUUAUAUAAAAAUACGUAGUUCACAGAUUUUGGCACAAGAAGUCCAGUUCAUGUCGUACCAACAAUGCUUAAAAUAGUUGGCCAAACAAAAAAAUUAACAGUAAGGUGCAUUGACUUUUUCUUUAAAAGGUUAAGGUUAUACUUGAAGAACUAAGCUCCAGGUCCACUACAAACAAGUUUCAGUUCCAAGUUUGGCACUUGCUGUCCGACACAAGCCACAGCCCCCUUGAACAUUCAGCAAGUGCACGAAACAAACGCAUGUUACAAGACCAAAAACAUAUUGGCGCAUCAAUUGGAAGCCAUCCAUCAUAUACCAUCAGAAAAAGGCUAGAGAGAAUUGGGGAAACAAAGGUGAACCUCUCUCUUCUUGCACUCCUUGUAGUUGUCGAACUGUUGCUAGCACUUGCUCUUGUCCUGGUUGGUCUCCAGACCUGGAGACACGGCACAUCAUUAGAGAUUUCAUCAAAUACACACGAAAUUGUCCAGAAAUUAUGGCCAGAAAAUGAACUGGGGGUGAUUGGAUUAGAAAUUUAGGAUUAGGGGCGGAGGAUGCGCGUACACUUGAGGGAGGCGGUGUAUUGGGGGAAGCAGGAGGAGUCGGCGAUCUGGGCCGCGCUGGGUUAGGUCCGGAGUUGAGGUGGAGCGGAGACCGGAGCUGAGGUGGCCGGUGUUGAGGAAGAGGGGGGCGACGGGGAGCGGGCCGGCUGGUGGUGGAAGCCCCAGCCUAGGCACGGGAUCAGCUCCGAGGGAGGAGAGCGCGAGGUCGGCGGGGACGGGGGAUCUCCAGCUCGAACGGAUCCUCCAAGACAGCGUAGCGGAGCUUGGCGCAGCUCCUAGGCACAACGACGGAGCACGGGGCAGUCGGUGGCCGCGGUGACGCGUGGCGGCCGCGCUUGGGGAGGCGGGAGCCGCGAAGGGUUCGGUCGGCUGGGCGCGCCGCGGCGGAGGGCCGGUAGCGGCGGCUUGAACCCUAGGUCUCGCGCUCGGGAAGGGAUCCGGUGGUGGGCUCGGGGAGGAGGCGGCGNNNNNNNNNNNNNNNNNNNNNNNNNNNNNNNNNNNNNNNNNNNNNNNNNNNNNNNNNNNNNNNNNNNNNNNNNNNNNNNNNNNNNNNNNNNNNNNNNNNNNNNNNNNNNNNNNNNNNNNNNNNNNNNNNNNNNNNNNNNNNNNNNNNNNNNNNNNNNNNNNNNNNNNNNNNNNNNNNNNNNNNNNNNNNNNNNNNNNNNNNNNNNNNNNNNNNNNNNNNNNNNNNNNNNNNNNNNNNAAGGGGAUCGGCGGCGGUGGCGUGAGGGGAGAAGGACGAACGGGUAGGCGAGGGGCGAGAUGGGAGAGGCGAGGGACGAGGGGUGGAUAUUUUAGUGGGGGAAGGUUAGCAAUGGCGCACCUCCUAGGGGUGCGCCAUAAAUACCGUGAUAGCAAUGGCGCAUCCUCCCCUGGUGCGCUAUUACUAACUUUUUUUUGGAUAUUUAGUUGCAUCUAAUAAUUUUUUAGAAAAUAACGAUCAAAUUUGAAAACAUUUAUGAAUGUGAAAAAUAUCAUCAAAUUUGAAAACAUUUAUGAAAAAACAUGAAUAUGAAAACAUUUAUGAAUAUGAAAAAAUAUCAUCAAAUUUGUUAUUUGAAAAUAUAUUUUUUGGAUUUUUAGUUGCAUUCAUUUGUGAAUUAGUAAAACAUUUAUGAAUAUGAAAAAAUAUCAUCAAAUUUGAAAAAAUAUUCAUGAAUUCAAAAAUGCCCAUGAAAUUUAACAAUAUUCAUGAGUUCAAAAAAUAUUAACAAAUUCAAUACUUUUUGUGAGUUAGAAAUUCAAUACGAGAAUAAACAUAAAUAAAAAUUGGUAUACCGGAAUAAACAUAAAUAAAUAUUCAUGAGGACUAGAACAGAAGAAAUGUCAUUUCCAUAUGUCGAAAUACAAUCGAGAAAUGAAGAAUACAAUUUAAAUACAAUCGAUCUUAGCUAGCUAUCUUUUCACAAUCUUCUUGUCCUUUUUCGCAAAUGGAGUUCUUCUCUUGAACAGACGUCCUUUAGGUAGGAUGGUCCUGCUGCUUCUUGUGGUGUAUGGUACUUCAUCGUCGUCAUCAUGUUCCAUCUUCGGGUCGCCGUACUUGUCGAAGUCUUGCUCAUUGGCGACUCUAUCCAUUCCGAUGAUCUUCAUUUUGCCUCUCCUCACGACAACACGACUGGGCUUUGACAGGUCCGUAAUGAAGAAGUAUUGGUCCACUUGGGAAGCCAGUACCCAUGGCUCAUUUUUCGCAGUGAUAUUUGCGUCCGCGGUCUUGGAUUUGGCUUCGGGUAUAACCAUGGUGGUGAAAUACGGGUGUUCUUUUAGGACGCUCUUGGCCCAUCUGACACGGAACAUCGGGACCUUCUCUCCAGCGUAGCUCAGCUCAUAGAUCUCCUCGAUCCUUCUGUAGUAUAUGUCCUUGUCGUUACCGGUGUAGCAUUCCAUCGUUAUCCUAGAGUUCUGAUAAUCAUCGCUCUUCAUGUCCUUUUCCUCGGUGUAGAAUGUGUAGUCGUUGAUAUCAUACGUGUCAUAGGUCAUCAGGUUGUGCUCGGCGCCCUAUGAUAAUGCGAAUAUGAGUUUUCCUUCCGCGGAAGAAUCCUCAUGUAAAGGGUACGACAGAAGCUUCUCCUUGAACGAACGCGUGAAACAUGAGUUGUGCUCUUUGAUUAUAUUUCCGUCCGUCCUCUGUUGGCCUCGGUCAUUGUACGGCUUCUCAAUAAAGGUUUUGUGCUCUACCACCCAAGGAUAGACCACGUCUAUGUGCUGUAGCACGACUAGGUUUGCUCUUUCAAAGUCAGCGAGUCGACCCUUGAAGUCGACAUGCAUUUCGCGGCGACCCUCGUGGUGACCCCAUCCAGCGAGCCUGCUGAGGUGCCUGUUGACGGGCAGACCAACCGGAUUCUCGAUGCCUAGAUAAUUCGUGUAGUAGGAGAUGCACUCUUCGGUCAGAAAGCCCUUGGCUAUGCUUCCCUCUGGACGUGACAUGUUGCGAACGUAUCCUUUGAUGACACCAUUCAUCCUUUCGAACGGCAUCAUGCUGUGCAGGAACGUCGGCCCGAGUUGGAUGAUAUCCUCCACGAUAUGGACCAGCAGAUGCACCAUAACGUCAAAGAAUGCGGGCGGGAAGUACAUCUCAAGCUCGCAUAGUAUCACCACGAUCUCUUCCUAUAGCCUUCUGAGCUGCCUCACGCACACCGACUUCCGAGAGAUGACGUUGAAAAAGUUGCAUAUGCCAAAUAGCAUUUCACGGAUGUGCGCGUCCAUGAUCCCAUGGAUUGCAAUUGGAAGUAUCUGCAUCAUCAGCACGUGACAGUCGUGAGACUUCAUCCCGCUGAACUUCUGCUUCGCUGAGUCUAGGUAUCGGCUUAUCUUCUCCGGUAACCGUAAGGAAGUUUUACUCCUACGAGGCAGGUGAAAAACUAUUCGUUCUCCUCCUAACUUAGAGUGAAGCACGUGGAAGGGCAGUCAUUUCCAAUCUUCUUGGCCUUUUUGCCUUUGCGACGACUUUCUGUGUCCUUCGCCUCAUCAUCAUCAUCAGCAGCAUCAUUAUUAGCGUGAAGCUCCUCCCUGAUGCCCAUUGAUUUCAAGUCUGCCCUUGCUUUCGGCCCAUGUUUGGUCCUCUCUGGCAUGUUGAGCAGGGUACCAAGCAGACUCUCGCACACGUUCUUCGUGAUAUGCAUGACAUCAAGGCUGUGAGGCACACGGAGGAUCUUCCAGUAUGGCAAGUCCCACGUAUUGGCUGGCGUUUUCCAUAGCUUGUCUAGCUCCUCUUUCAGCAGCCCUAAAUACAGAUUGAUGUCGUUCCCUGGAUGUUUCGGCCCUUCAAUUAGCAUACUCAUGUGAAUGUACUUCCUCUUCAUGCACAACCAGGGGGGAAGGUUGAACAUCCACACAAACACAGGCCAGGUGCUAUGUGUGCUUCUCUGGCUGCCAAACGGAUUGACUCCAUCGGUGCUCACGCCCAGCAUGAUGUUCCUUGGAUCGUCCCCAAAUUCUAGGUGUUCGAAGUUCAACGCUUGCCACUGGCUCGCAUCCUUAGGGUGACUCAGCAUCUUGUCUUUUUUAUUUAUCUCCGGAUCAUUUCCGUCAUCUUCUCGCUUUUUCUCCUCCCUAUACGCGUGCCAACGCAGGAGCUUUGCUACCUUAGGGUCCAUGAAAUACCGCUGCAGACGAGGAGUGAUCGGAAAGUACCACACCACUUUUCGAGGAGCUUUAUUCCUCUUCUUGUAUCGAGUGAUGCCGCACGCCGGACAUAUGGUAGACUCCGCGUGCUCGUCCCGAUAAAUGAUGCAAUUGUUCAUGCACACAUGAUAUUUCACGUGCGGUGAAUUCAGAGGACACACGAUUUUCUUCGCCUCCACGAAACUGGUCGGGCACUUGUUCCCCUUGGGAAGACGUUCGUGCCAGAAUGACAUGUUCUCGUCGAAGCAUGCGUCGUUCAUUUUGUGUUUUACCUUCAUCUACAGAGCCAUGAGCGUUACUUUCAGGCGGGUAUCCUCGGGCCUGCAUCCUUCAUACAAUGGAGUAACCGCGUCUAUCUCCAGUUGAUCCAGCUUGGCUUUCUCUCGCGCGGCAGCUCUUGCGUUAUCCGUCUGCUUGAGAAGCAGCUCUUGAAUAUGAGGGUCCUGCACCCAGCCCAUCGAUGGUCCAUCGUCGUCUGCUCCGUCGGUAUCUUCAUCUUCAUGAUCAUGCCCUUCGUCUGCUCCGGCAUCUUCCUCAUCAUCAUGUCCUGCAUCUUCUACAUGAUGACUGUGUACAACAUCACCGUCGUGAUCAUGUCCUGGAGAUUCUUCGUCUUCUCGCCCGCCCGAGCAGCGGUGGUUGUCUUGCUGCCCUUCCUCAUUUCUUGCCCGGCCCCCAUGGACGACUUCAUAAUCAUCUUCAUGACCUUGCCACCGAUAGCCAUCCAUGAAACCACGCAAGAGUAGGUGGCCCCGCACCUGUACGGAAUCCGGUUCCAUAAGGCUCUUCAGCUUGCAUCUUCAACACAGACAUCUUAUCUCCGUCUCAUUCUUUUGAAUCAUCUCGGGCUUCGCGGAGAUCAAAAACCUAUUCAUGAUGCCUUCGGUCAUCGUGCGGACCAUGGUCGCCUGCGGGGUAGAGCAAAGCAAUAUUUUAGAACCAAAAAAAAUUGGCAUGACUUUGCCUGAAAAUAGGACCAAAAAGAAUGCGUAGUGCCAAAUUCUUGCCGAAACGGAAAUGAAUCAACAUUCCGGCAAAAUAUUGGCAACUCGCAUUUCAAAUACCGGAACCUGCAAACACAAACAUAUGCAACACCACAAACAUAUGCAACACCACAAACAUACGUAGAUCUAGGCCAUAAAAAGUGCAUGUGCACGUUGUUGGAGGGAGAAAAAAGUAGAUCUACAACAUAAGCUUUCCCCUUACUUACCUAUAAAAAAAGGGAAUUUAAUCACUUAAUUUGGGUGAAUCUAUGGUGCAAAUGAGGUGAGGAGGAGGAGGCAGCCGAGACAAGCUUGAAAGAGGAGGUGGAGAGAAUGAAGUAGGGAAAGUGAGUGUGGUAGGUGGCUGUCCAAAAUAUCUAGCUGUUCUCAGGUUACCAAUGACGCACCACCUAAUAAUGCGCCAUUAGUAACCAGUUACUAAUGGCGCACCUGUUAUAUGGUGCGCCAUUACUAGUUUUGAAAAAAAAGUUGUUCGUAGUGGCGCACCGUGGUUGUGGUGCGUCAUUACUAGUUUGAACUAGUAAUGGUGCAAUAUCUCCUGGUGCGCCAUUACUAGUUUUGAAAAAAGAAAGUAAAAAAAUUGUUAGUAGUGGCGCACAGAGUGAGUGGUGCGCCAUUACUAGUUAAAACUAGUAAUGGCGCACUAUCCCCUGAUGCGCCAUUACUAGUUUUAAAAAAAAAUUGUUAGUAGUGGCGCCAUUAGUGAUAUGAACACUAAUGACGUACCUAUACAUGGUGCGCCACUGCUAUAUAGCAGUCGCGCACCACAUUUGUGGUGCGCCAUUAAUGUUCAUAUUAGUUAUAGCCCUUUUUCUAGUAGUGCUACCUUCUUAUCUCACAUGUAAAAAGAGAAGGUAAGAGGGAGCAUGUUAAAAUUUGCCAUGUAUAUGCAAUGCGUUCUUAUUGACGGAUGGAUGCGGUUGUGUCAGUGGUCGUGGUCGUCACCGCGUUGGUCUUCAUAUCUCCUCCUCCUUAUACUACUACGUAAUACAUUAGAAUUAGCGUUAGGUAAACUUUAGGUAGGAGACUGAUAAUAGACAAGGAUGAUGGCCUUGUCACGUUUGUUAUGUUAAUAUACAGUCAGGCUCAUUCAUACAAGGCUUGCCCCAGCACUGAGUUACAAGAAAUCAGCUUAAGAUAUCUUGCAAUCACACCAUAAUCAUACACAUAUGUGAUUUUUAUGCAAAUCCUUUCUUUGACCUACUACGACCAGCAACUACCGGCCUGCACAAUUUUCUAUCAUUCCAAAACAAAACGAGCUAUUGUACAACAUGGAGAUAAGACAAUUACAAGGGGAAGAGAUCUAAGAAGACAAAGUACAUAACCAAGAAAUAAGAAUUAUUGCUUAUAGAAAACAAUUUUUUUUGAAAAGGAGGAAGACCCCCGGCCAAGCCUAACAUCCAAGACCUGAGGCCCCGACCAAGCCACUUGCCGGCUAUGGGGCACACACCGGUCCGGCGCACACACAGAGGCCGCCGCAGCCAACUGCCACCAAUCCAUCUUCAGAGCUGUACUGACGCAUCAACCUUGCCUGGUCUAGCUGCUGUCGACGCCACCACGACGCCAGACAACGCCACCAUCAUGGACUCGUCCAUCAACACAAGCCUAGCAGCGAGACCCCGCUGCUCCAUGCCACUGAGACCCGCCAUUGUCGACAUGUCAGAUGCAACGCUGCUCCUCCUUUACGAACACCACAUGCAGCCACUGGUGCCAUCCCUCCACUCCCAACCGAGCCCCAAUGCCCCUGACGACGCCACCAAGAAGGUCACGACGCGAACAGCGCCGCUACCGCCAAAUUCAAAGAGGAUUGGAGGUUUUCACUCGGCAUGAGAUCGGGGUGGGUAGAUUGGGCCCUCAGCUGCGCCUUCAUGAAGGAAAGCGAAACCCAUGGGUGCCGCCGCCGCCGGGCUGGCCUGACCGGCCAAGGUUUCCCCCGGACACAAGGUACACCACCAGGGCUCACCAUCACUGAAGCCUGUAGCCGCAAACCACCGGGACGCCGAGAGAGGCAACAGGGGAAAAGGGAACCUCCAGAUCUGACGCCACGACACCAACCCACCGGAGGAUCACGGGCCACCCGAUCCAAUCCCCAGCAGCCCACCUGCCCCGCUGCGCCCGGACACGGAGGCCAACCCAAGGGCUGCCACCCCAGAUCCAGGGCCCUCCGCUCGAAAUCAGGCAGAGCAGAGCCAGCCUGCCGCCACGACCAUCACUGGGUCACCGGCCGGCCGCCACGCUGUUGUGCUCCAGAUGGAGGUCGCCGUGGGCCAAAUCGGUGCCGCCGCCAUCGAUAGGGGACUCGUCCUCAAGAUUGGGGAUCCCGCGCAUCCCGAUCCCCAAGUGAGAGGGCGAUGCCUCCGCGUCGCCAUCACAUGCACGGGCUUAGCCCGGCGCCAACCACCGGCGGCGGCGGAGGGGAGAGCGAGAAGGAGGAGGGGCACCGGCGGCGGAGGGUUGGGUCCCCUUGGUCACCCGCGCGGUGGGCGAUGGAGGGGAAGGGGGAGGGGGAGGGGGAGAGCUUACAGAAAACAACUACAUGUCACUAAGGAACAGAACGAGAGAUCAGAUAGAAAAGUAGAGAAAUGAGUAAACGGCUUGUUGCGUAUGCUUGCCCAUAGCAGAAGGUCAUCUCCACAACUAGGAAUAAGAACAGGGUAGUCCUCUUUUUUUUGUUAAAUCUUCGGGUUAUGGUGCUUCCAAAUAUUCCAAAGAAAGCAGAUGCACAACAAAGAGGGGACCUAUUUGGUAGAAAAUCGAGGCCGAGGACAAGCAAUCACAAGCAUAAAAUCAAUAUUUGUUGACAAGGUUUUGCAAACUAGUCUACUCACCAAGCAGGGUUACGAGAGCUCCUCCCCAGGUACUAAAUUGAGAUGACAAAUUCCACUAAGGCAAUCGAACAACAUGUCUAGCCAAUCACCACUACCGGUCAGGCCAUCCCUGCCAUGUCCCCCGCGCCUUCCCUCGUGUGAUUCAUGUCUAGACUACCAGUUUCGUCUAGUCUAUUUUGGCAACCCGUGGUGCCUUUAUAUGUUAGACCUUGGUUACGCGUAUUUGAUUCAAACACCUUACAUUCCGCAAAGUACAAGUCUAAUAAUAGUACAACUCUAACACAUAUUCGACAAAAUUCAAACAAACUUAUGACUCGUGAAUAUGUCUUCGUCAUCUUCAAGCUCCCAAGCAUGGACCACAAUGUACUAAAUUUGGACUUGAACCAUCAGGCAUGAUAGAGCAUGAUGAACAAAACAUACAUGAUAAUCGGACCAUUAUAAGUACUAAACAAUCUAGACAUGCAAUCUGAUAGAUAAGAAAGCAUAGGAUGUCCAUGUUGAUUUGUACUACGAAUACACCAAUGGAAAAGCCUAAUUAAAAGAAGCGAUAAGAGUACUUACGAGAUGGGUGUAGCAUAAGCAACGUUAGAUGCAGCGGCGGUGUCCUUAGUAUUGUGGUUGGACGGAGCCAACUAGUAGUCCAUGAACUAGUUGAUGGAGCAUGAACAUUCGAGUAAUCAUGGGAGUAGUAGCAGUAUUGUGGUCCCCAAAAACCUAAUCACCUCUCUCUUUUACAUGAUUGCAAGAGACGGGGUUCCGGAGGCCUGCUCCCUCCCCCUUCACGGUGCACGUCGAGAAGCAGGAUAGAGAAACUUAGAAGCGGCACAGUUCACAUAGACUUCAGUCAAAUAUUAAAAUUCCUUAUUCAGAUGAAACAUCAAAGUUAAGAGCCAACAUCAAAACAAAAGGAGCUCCACAUGUUGGUUCUUUGUCCAAUGAACUAAUUUUUCAUCCAGCACUAAACAAGCUUGUGCCAUGACACCAUCCAUGCAUAGAGUGGAAUACUUCACUUGCUAACUCUUCGGACGGUCUUACCCCCCAGUUCGACACUUCUUUAUUUUCCUGUUUCCUCUGCAAAAUUGGCCAUGAUUUAAUUCAAAACCCCACCAUGUUGAUCUUAGUACAUCGACAAUCAAUUUUCUUAUCAUCAAAACAAGCACCACUUCUAAUUAUUCAAAUGGUCAAGAAAACAUAAGCAAUUCCAACCAUUACUAGAUGUUUGACUUGCCUUGAAAAUCAAGAAAUCCAUGAAGUAAACGUUUAUUCGACUGAAUGUCUGAUUCAGAUACUCUAAAUGUAGAAGGCACACUGCAUAACAUUCCAAACUAGUUUUGCAAGAGAACACUUAAGGAAAAAGAUCAACUAUUUUAUCUAAACCACAAAAUUGACAUCUAUUUUCUUAUUGUUAAUCCCUCUUCAGGAUCAACAAUUAAGGAAAAAGGUGAUAAAAAUUUAUUCCCCCUUCUCGCAGCUUUUUCGGAAGUCCUUUAGGUAAAUCUCUGCAAUUUAACAUGAACGUGAAGUAAAAAUUAUGCUAUGGUGAUCAAAUAAGCAUCAAAUUGGAGUACUUACCUUAUGAAAUCACGUAGUGUUGCCGUGUGUAUCCUAGUUUUGCAGAGGCCGGGUGUGCGCUCAUUGUCAUUGUACCAAUUGAUGUUACAUUAUGAGUCAAUACAAAACGUCCUUUGUCGAGAAAAUGAAAUCAUGAUGCAAAAUGCAUAUAUCAAUAAUUAAUCAUUAUUGUUUCCAUAGCAUCGACACCACAUAUAAUGCAUGCAUGUACUCCCUCCGUUCCUAAAUAUUUGUCUUUCUAGCUAUCUUAAAUGGACAACAUACGGAUGUAUGUAGACAUGUUUUAGAGUGUAGAUUCACUCAUUUUGUUUCGUAUGUAGUCACUUGUUGAAAUCUCUAGAAAGACAAUUAUUUGGGAACAGAGGGGGUAUAUGUUAGUACAAAUUGAUAAUCCAUCUUGUCCCUUGUUAACAGGCACCAACUGGACAAGUGGUCACAGGGCAUGCCAUGACCAGGCCACUAUAGUCGUGAGACAUAUAUUAGUCAGAUGUUAUUCUACACUUUCAAGGAAGAAUAAGAGUCCGACGUUAGCACGCGCAAGCAUGCUAAGUGUGUGUGUAAGUUAAGUAUGUGAAACAUGCAUGAACUUGCGCCGAUUAUACUGUUAGCCGUUUUAGGUUUUGGAUUCAUCGGAGUCUUGCCACCGCUCUACCUUAGCUAGGGCAUCUUCUAGUCACUGAACCGCCGUCACACACGCCACUGUGAUAACAAAUGCAGACCUUGAUACCGAAUGCCAAAUUCCUGCUCGAAAGAAACUGGAUGAACCCACAGUACAUGUAUGUCACUAUUUCCUUUUAUUCAGUCGCCCAACAACAACCUGCACAUGGCUAGACAACAUAACCGGAGAAAAACUUUACUUGGCCGCAAUGUGGACUAGCACGCUUCUGGCCUACAAGCAAAGUACCUACGGAUUCCGUUGAGCCGAGUUUACAAAUUAACAUAUUGCAAUAUAAACUAGAGUACUUGACGCAAACACACCGCUUAACUUCGUCCUGGUCGGACGAUGUCGGAGAUCAGGUGGUCUCACCCCUUUGGAGGCUUACUCUCACUUUUUAUUCUUAGGCGGCAGCUUCCUGUUCUUCUUCUAAGUCAGCAUCGGGUUAUUCCUGGACUGCACCUGGUUCUUCUUGAACGACGGUGGUUUUGUCAACUGGGUACUGAUUGACGGUGCCUUGGUCUUGUUAGGGGCAUCCUUUGCAGGUUCCUUCCCCUUGCCCAUGACGCAAUCUCCUUCUCUUCUUCUUGACCACGUGCCGGCGUAACUCAAGUGUUUGGACCCACGUGUCAUACAUAGUUCAUUUUGUCCAUGUUAUAUUUAGAGUGGAACCAUGUAUCAGUACAAGACAUGUGUCACCGUUUCGACUAAUCCGUGUCGUUGUAGAUUUCUUUCAUUUCAAUCUAAUUCAUGCAUGACUUUUAACAUAUCUUCAAAGAAUACGAGCUGCUGUAUUCCUGUUGCUUUUAUUACUUUAAAAAUAUAAUCAAUAGAAGUUCCUGGUUAGUUCAUUUAGAUUCAGUGGCACACAUACAUGGUUUCGACAGUAAAGCUAGUAGCUUAUACAAUAUUCCGCGGCCGGUGUCCAUCAGAGGUAUAGAUACCACUAACGGGACACAUUACAACACCGCCCAAUGGCCUUCUCUCUUGUAGUGAUGGACUCUUUUGUCAUUCGUUCUGUUGUAACCAUGAGUGGGACAAGAUACUCGAUUUGCCUAUCUUAGGAUUUGUUGAAUGCAAGGUGGUUAAGGGAGGUUCUUAAAGAAAUAAACCAACUUUUUCUUUGUGCAUCAAUUCUUGUUCAUAGAGGGCAGAUGCUUAAUUAGGCAUCCCUUCUAUAGAGAUAACCGAUGGUGCUUAAACAAGAAACUUAAAGGUUUUUCCUUUAGAAUCAGCGGACGUUCAUAUACAUGAAUUUACACUCCCCUAUGAAUUCACACACGCACACUCUAUCCCUUAUGAGCACCUCUGAGAAAUUGAACCAACAGGUUGCGAGAUUGACGAAGUCAUGACCUGUGCAUCGCUGUCGAUGGGUCGUCGCUUACAGCGAAAGAAUAAGUCGUUAAACCCAGAAAUAUAUCGGGAAAACUGCAAACACCCUUCUCAAGUCAAGGACUUGAACCAGGUUGGAUAGCUUCCACCACAAGGAACCUAACAAACUGUGCUACGCUCAAUUCACCGAAGAGAUAAUGGUUGCGGUUUAUUAACCCUAUAUGUAUGUCUUUUUCGGCUCUUUCUUCUUAUUCAACUUCCCAACAAUAACCUCCCACAUGACUCAUAACACAACACAAGGAAAAAAAGGACUUCAUUUGGCCGCAACGUGAACCAGCACGCUUCUGGCCUAUAGACAGACUGGCUACGGAUUCUACAGCAGUGAUCGGAUCGAAUCAAAUUUACAAAUUAACUUACUGUAACGCAAACGGAGCUACUCAACAUAAACACACAUAACUUCAUCCUGGCCAGUGGACGUCGAUCACUGCGCGGCUGUUGUCACCUCUUUCGAGGCUAAUUCUUCUUAGACGGCGUCGUCUGUUUCAUCUGCUUCUUCUGAGGCAGGAGCGACUUCCUCCUAUGGGCUGUCUUCGUCAAUUGCGUAUUGCUUGACGAUGCCUUCACCUUCUUUGGGGGAACCUUUGCAGCUUGCUCGCCCAUGACAAGAUUUGCUUCUUUUCUAAUAAUUCUUCUUCUCCAGUGGUAGCUGAGGUGAGGUGGAUAUAGUGUUUACUUUGCUCUGGUUGGGUUGAGGAAGCCUGCAGCAAUGGCUCCAUAUAUAUAGGAGGGGGAAGGUCUUUGAGAAAGCGCUUCGGCCAGACAACACGCUUCCACCGUGUGUGAGAAUUAUUUGGUGGCAUUAAUGUUUCUUGUGCCAGUCUGUUCUCUUUUGGGGAGUAGAUAUGCAUUAUAUUCAAUGCAUAUUAGUUAAGGAUCGCUGCUCAAUGGUUUGGUCAAUGGUUGGGUAUGCGGUUGGGUCAAAGGUUGUGGUCGCUGCCGCGUUGGUCUUUGUUUCUUCUCCUCCUGCUCCUUAUAUUACUACUACAUCAGAAUAAGUGUUGGUGGUUCAGUUUUGGUAGCACACGCCAGACACACAGAUGGCUUGUUAGUUGUUAGCAAGUACACACGAUGUUGCCGUUGCAUGGGAUGUUUUGCUAGAGCUUGAGUUUACAUUAGCCAAACCAAUUGGUAUCAUGUACGACAAAUCUUGUAUAUAUGUUUUGGUAGAGCUUGAGUUUAGAUUAGCUAAACCAUAAUAACUUUGUAUAUUAGUUAGGGGUCGAGUUGACAAGAGAGUUAUUUACCCAGGUUCAGACCUUGUGAAGGAGAACAUUAAUCAAAUUAUAUUUCAUGAGCUGGCCAGUAGGCAAAGAUCAUGUCAAGGUUAAAAAAUGAAUAGGAAUCGGCCGGCGCACGCACAAGCUGCCUAGCUUCGUCGACCUUCUCUUCUUUAUUUAAUUUACUCCUCCUGCUACCACGGCAUCUCGUUAACCACUAAUAUUGGAGCAAGCUAAGUAUGUUAAUACCGCUACAUAAGAACACCACUCAACCACUCGCUAGAGUCUUCCCGCUGCUCAAUUACUAGCGCACUACCUUGAGCUGUCCCGCUUGUUUCUCCUUGGUGGUAAUGCUAAAGAAUAUUGCAAGAAACUGGAAUGAACACGCAAAAGACAGAGGUAGUUCAGCAACGUGUUAAUUAAUCACGUGUACGUCUUUUCUGACUCAUUUCUUUUAUUUGGUCACCCAAUAACACCAGAAAAACACAAAUAGCCACAACAUGAACUGGCACACUUAAUGUUUUUGCAGGAAAAACUCUCGUAAUUCAAACAAAAAAAUUUCAAAAAAAUAAUUCAAAAAAAAUCCUAAAAUUUCCUUUAGUCCCGGUUGGUGUUACCAACCGGGACUAAAGGGCCAGGGCAUUAGUACCGACCCUUUAGUCCCGGUUCAUGAACCGGGACUAAAGGCCCUCACCAACCGGGACAAUAGGCCCUUUUUCUACUAGUGUCACUUAGUUCCGAGAUACAAGGCCAUUUAUAAAAAAAUCUAAGAAAUACAGUUUACCACUAUUUGAAUUAAUAUUGAAAAUUGCAUUUUUUUUGGAAUGUUGAAAUACUAUGAACAAAAAUCUAAUCAUGCGUGUUUUGUUUUGACAAAUCCUUGCAUACAUUUAAAUUGAUAUUAGAAUCAAAUAAGCUUUCUAUCUAAAAUUGUGAUUUAUUUGCUUCCAAGUCAUCAUAUUCUCGUUUGAGAAUGUAAAUAUUAUUACCUUCUCCUCUAUGCUUUAAUCUCUAUUGUCUCCUCUUAUUCAGUUCAUAGAUCGUAUGUCUCCUUCAUGUAAUCACAUGUACUCACACCAUUAUAUUAUUUAAGUUUGACCGACAAUAUGACUAUAUCUAAUGGUUGUGUAUGUGAGUGAGGUUGCUCGUUCUCAUCCACCUAGGUAAUCUUUUGGAUUGGCAUGGCUGUUCUGUCAUAUUGUUGAAGUAGAUGCAUAUGUGUAUAUUAUUGUGUAAAUGCUCACCGGCACCAAGAGAGAAUGUGAAACUUCCAAUAUUUUUCAUGGGCAACAUAUAAAAGAUAAGCUAAGUUGGCCCUAUAGCGCAGAUAAAUGUCACUAUAUCCCGUUAGAAGCACUAAAUUGUACAUAUGUGUUGUUUAGCAGGAUUCUAGAGGUUAUAGCCGCGGAAAACAUUCAACACACAUCUCUAUCCAAUUGUGAUAAUCAUACAUGCUAGCACAUUAUUAGACAUAUCUGUAGUAUGCUAAGUGUAACAAUAUGGCCUCUUCUACUUUGUUGAAGCAUCGUAUCAUGUUACAAAUAUAACGAAAAAUCUUCAAGAUCCGCUUGUAAAUCCCCAAGUACAUAAAUUCCCAUUCAAUUUAGAAGUCCGACAAGAUGCCAAGGUCGGCUCAUUGGGGGCAUUCCUCAAGUAUGUUACAUGACUUGACUAUAUAAUUUUAUUUCCCAUGCAGAGGUAGAAGAAAACCGUCCUCAAUAUUGUCUCCUCUUAUUCAGUUCAUAGAUCGUAUGUCUCCUUCACGUAAUCAAAUGUACUUACACCAUUAUAUUAUUUAAGUUUGAUCAACAAUAUGACUAUAUCUAAUGGUUGUGUAUGUGAGUGAGGUUGUUCGUUCUCAUCCACCUAGGUAAUCCUUUGGAUUGGCAUGGGUGUUGUGUCAUAAUGUUCGAGGUAGAUGCAUAUGUGUAUAUUAAUUGUGUGAAUGCUCACCGGCACCAAAAGAGAAUGUGAAACUUCCAAAAUAAAUCAUGGGCAACAUAUAAAACAUAAGCUAAAUUGGCCCUAUAGCGCAGAUAAAUGUCACUAUAUCCCGUCAGAAGCACUAAAUUGUACAGAUGUGUUGUUUAGCAGGAUUCUAGAGGUUAUUACCACGGAAAACAUUCAACACACAUCGAUAUCCAAUUGUGAUAAUCAUACAUGUUAGCACAUUAUUAGACAUAUCAGUAGUAUGCUAAGUGUAACAAUAUGGCCUCUUCUACUUUGUUGAAGCAUCGUAUCAUGUUAAAAAUAUAACGAAAAAUCUUCAAGAUCUGCUUGUAAAUCCCCAAGUACAUAAAUUCCCAUUCAAUUUAGAAGUCCUACAAGAUGCCAAGGUCGGCUCAUUGGGGGCAUUCCUCAAGUAUGUUACAUGACUUGACUAUAUAAUUUUAUUUCCCAUGCAGAGGUAGAAGAAAACCGUCCUCAAUACUGGAUCCAUCCAGAGGUGGCGGCAGUUUACAACCUCACAUCGACUGGAGACUAGCAUCGCCCUUGGAAAUGCCCUUGUAUUGCUGCUAACGUAUUUCUCAUUUCCCAAUAAACUGGAUGCAUUCAUGGAACAUGUAUGCCAAUCUUUCCUUUUAUUCAAUCACCCAACAACAACAUGAUGCACGACUCAACAACACAUGUAAGAAGAAACUAUACUUGGCCACCACGUGAACAAGCACACUUAUGAUUUACAUACUGAGGUUACUAAUUUAGAUAACACAACAUAAACUGACGUACAAGACAGAGACACAAUUGACUUCAUCAUUGCCAGACAACAUGGAUGAGAACGCGGCUGCUCUCACCACUUUUGAGGCCACUUCUUAUUUCUUAGGCUGCGGCUGCUUCUUCUUAGCCAUCAUCUCUUUUUCUGAGUCAGCCUCACGUUUAUCCUACGGUUACGCCCCUUCUUAAGAUUCCUUCGUUGUGCCCCCGGCUUAUUGGUUGACGGUUGCGUUGGCCUGUUAGGGGGAACCGUUGUACCUGGAACCUUUGGACCUGACUUGUCCAUGACGCCUCCUCCCCUCCUCCUCCUCCUCCUCCUCCUCCUCCUCCUCCUCCUUCUUCUUCUUCGCUUGUGCAAGGUAGGUGAGGUGAGGUGGAUGUGGUGUUUGUUUUGCACCGGUUGGUUUGUGGAAUCAUGCAGCAACGGCGCGCGCAUAUAUAUAGGAGGAUUAAGGACUUGGCGAAGCGCUCUGGCCGUACAAGGUGGUUUCAUUGAAGGAAAAUGAUUUGGUGGCAUCCCCCGUGCUGCUGUUAGUCAGUCUCUUUUGUGUCGUUUUGGGGAGUAGAUAUGUAUAUUUGAUUCAUUUGUUAUGGGUGGAUAAGUAUGCAGUUGAGUCAGUGGUCUUCGUUGCUGACAGUUGGUCUUCAUUUCUUCUUCUCAUCCUCCUUGUACUAUAGCUACAUCAGAAUAAGUGUUGGUGGUCAAGUUUUACUAGCAUAUACCACACGGCUUGUUACUUGUUAGGCCAUCUUCAACGGCUAUCCGUGGACAAAGAGGAUCAGUCCGCGGACACAAAUUUAGGAGCCGGCUAUCCAACGCUGCACCAUACAUUUGAAACACUUUGUCAACAAAGCAGAUGUACCUCACUCAGACACAUCAGAUUACAUAUAAACCUGGUGAAAACAUUUAUAUUUUUGACAUAUUCUAACUAAAAAACUAAAACUAUGUGCAUGUACCACCACACGGAGGUCCACUACCAUGACACGGAUACAUUACACUAGUCUACGAUCGGCCGCGGAGUGUCCCUUUGUCUUCCCCUUGUCAGGCAGUCUGGUGACUCAUCGGAUUGCUGGGAGCCCCGGAGGUAUAUUCCUCCCCUGUAUCUUCCCUAUGUCUGGCUGCGCCGCUUAUCGGAGUGGCAAAGAGGGUGCUUCAGUCGGAAGGGAAGGGGGAAUCCGCUUCCGUGAAGCGCGGAUCAGGGUUGGUUUUUGGGGCAGGGGAAGAUGGUGGCCUGCGAGACAGGGCGAGACAUUUGGUGUGCAUGCGGCGAUGCUGCGGCGGUGGCCUUCUAAGGACCCAAGUGGCGGCGGGCUCCCAUGUUCUACUUUUCCUCGAUUUUGUCGGCAAACGCGGACAUGCUAGCCGCCGCCUCGUCGAUCUCCACUAUAUAUGAGAUGCCUAGUAUAUAAGUGUCCUACUAGGACACGACUUCAUAUUCUAUCUAAACACAAUACUACUCAGAGUCCAACUGUAACCUAUCUUAUACACAAUAUUCCAUACAACUCUAACAACUCCGGCUGGGUCAAGGAAACCUCAUGCACGGCCGGCUGGAAGACGCGCUUCCACCAUGGAGAAUGGUUUGGUGGCGUUCAGAGUCAGUCUCGUUUGUUUUGUUCUGUUUUCAGGAGUAUGUAUGCACAUUCGAUGCAUUUGUCAUUGACGGAUGGAUGCGGUCGGGUCAAAGGUCGUGGUCGUCGCCGCGUCAGUCUUCACUUCUCCUCCAUCUCCUCUUCCUUAUACACCUACAUUAGAACUUGCGUUAGGUUAAGUUUAGGAAGCAUACAGAAUUUCUUUUAGUUAUAAUCAAAUAGAUUAAGAUAUCUUGCAAUCACACCAUGUCAUAGGCACAUGUGAUUUUCAUGCAAAUUAUUUCUUUGACCUGCUAUCACCAGCAACUGCCAGCCUGAACCAUUUUAUAUCAAUCCAAACCAAAACGAGCUACCUGUACAAGAUGGAGAUAAUUGCAACAAAUUCGGACCGUGUACGUCUAGUGCAUCUGUUGAUAGCAUUUAACCUGCCAUGAUUCUUUGAGGAUGCAUGUUGGCCUAUGCAUCCUUUGAUUGGAUGGACUUCUCUAAAUAUUCACUACACAAGUCAGUCAUUCUCAGAAGUGGACGGUCCAGCGAAUUUGGAAGGGUUAAGAGCAUGGUUAAUAGUAUAGCCAGCUGCUAUGUCAUCUACAGCUCAUUUUAUAGUCAAUAUGUACAAUAUUAGAUCAAAAGAGUGUACUACUUUUUUAUUAUGUGGUCCACCUUUCAUUCUCACAAAGUGCCUAGGAGCACGUGCUAGAGCUGCCUCUUCAUGAAGAGCCCGCUUACCUUCUUUCUCCUCUUCUCUUUACUCCAACUAAGCAGAAAUAUACUAGUUUAUUCCUUAUAGCCCGCUGACUCAGCUCUAUUGUACUUGCUCUAAGGAAAGAAAAUUAUCUAUUGGCUAUGGCUGAGACUAAUUCUGACUGCUGUUGUUGAUGUGUCUGCUAAUUUGGCAUAAUUCCUCGCUUGUCCAAUUGCAGCAUCUCGCUCUAGUAGUAGUCCAAGUCUCUCAGCCUCAAAUACGAUGCAUAUGAUUAUUUUAAUAGAAAAACCUGUUGGCGUGUUGCGUCAAAUGGCACAGACCGGCCAAGCUGGGCCGGCCCAUUAAGAUGUACAGUUGUUCUCCGUCUUGGGGAACCUUUCGGAAGGUUCCAGUCUGGUUUUCACCGUUUUUUGUUUUUCUUUCCUGGUUUUCAUUUUCUUUUUUUCUUAAAUAUUGGUCUUUUUGGUAAAAAAUAUCUGUUAUAAAAUAUCAAAUUGUUCAUGUUUUACAAGUUUAUUGGAAUUUCUAAAAAUGUUUUCACUUCCAAAAAUUCUUCACAAACUAAAAGAUGGUCAUGUUAUUAUAAAAAAUGUUUGUAAUUUUUUAAAAUGUUCCUGUAUUUAAAAAGUGUUCACAAAUUCAAAAAAUAAUCAGGAACUUCAAAAAAUAUGUUUAUUGUUCAUUUUUUAAAGGCACAUCUUCCAAAAAAAUAGAUUCUUCAUAAUAAGGUUUGUGUUUUAAAAAAAACAAAUCCACCAAAAAUAUGUUUACUAUGGGCAUUUGGGGCAUGUUUUGGGGUGUUGUAACGGGGCUUCCACCCUGCUAGUGCAUGUUCUAUGCUGGUUUCAGUCUAACCCGCCAAAAGUGUUUCCUAUUGUACUGCUUGCUUUCUUUCUAAUAAAGAUCGGCCAAGGGCCCUUCGAGAAAAGAUCUUCCCCUUUAAUGGCGGAUUUGGUUUUUUAAUGGGAGGAAGAACAACAUACCAGGCUACCAACUCUCCCAUUAAGAGUAGAGAUUCCCGAGAAGCCGCUGGCGCUAGAUAUAUGACCGCAGCCAGGCGAGAAAGACGCGGGAUUCUAGAUGGGGAUAAGGAACAAUAUUGGUGGAGAUGAAGAAGGGUUGGACGAAACCAAAAUUAACAUAUCCUUGUCAAAACAAGAAACCAAAAUUAACAUAUGAUGAUGAAGGAAAGUACAGGGGAUGUGUGGGUAAGGGAAGGAAAGCAAAUAAUUGAUUGAAUCGGCACCAGGUUUUGUUGGGACACACGUGAUUUCUUGUUAUGAUGUUCGCACUUGGGAGAAGCAGAACAUAGCGAGCUAGAAUGGUCAUGCCAGCUGCUGCUUAGACAGGCAUCUCCGGCGUGCUGGGAAUCAAUGUCCCGACAUGCUCGAAACAGGAGGGCGCUGCACCGUGUUGGAACUGGACAACCACCAUGUUGUAACUGUGGUUGAACACUAGUGGUGGGGACAGAUGCGAGGGACCUGUCCUGUGAGGGCGGCAACACCACGGCGAGCGGUAGCUAGCCGGUAGUGCUUCCAGAAUCGGUCGGCGCAUGUCCAUCGCAAGUAUAGUGGCGCUAGCUAUCGACUCUUUUCGAUCAAAUGGGAAGGAGCGAGCACUGUGUGAGGAAGGAGACGAAGAGAAGAAGAAUCGAAACGUGCCAGUGGGGCCAAUCCGGCUGGCACCAAGCGACCAACCAAAUUUUGGGCAAGUCGACCGGCGCCUAGCGCCGCCCUUGGAAAUGUCAUUGUAUCGAUGCUAACGUAUUUUUCAAUGUACUGGAUGCACUCAUGGAACAUGUAUGUCAAUCCUUCCUUUUAUUCAAUCACCCAACAACAACCUGAUGCACGACUCAACAGCACAUGUAAGAAGAAAGUAUACUUGGCCGCAACGUGAACAAGCACACUUAUGGUUUACAUAUUGAGGUUACGAAUUAACCUGCCACAACAUAAACUAACGUACAAGACAGAAACACAAUUAACUUCAUCAUUGCCCGACAACAUGGAUCAGAAUGAAAAAAAAUAAAAUAUAGUAAAAAGAACAUGGAUCAGAACGCGGCUGCUCUCACCACUUUUGAGGCUAUUUCUUAGUAUUUCUUAGGCUGCGGCUGCUUCUUCUUAGCUAUCCUCUGUUUUUGCGAGUCAGCUUCAGAUCUUUCCUACGAUUACGCGACUUUUUAGGUUUCUUUGGUUGUGCCUUUGGCUUAUUGGGUGGCGGCGGCGUUCGCCUGUUAUGGGGAACCGUUGUACCUGGAACCUUUGUACCUGUCUUCUCCAUGACGCCUCCUCCUCCUACUCCUCCUCUCCCUCCUCCUCCUCCUCUCCUUCUUCUUCUUCUUCUUCUUCUUCUUCUUCUUCUUCAUCUUCUUGUGCGAGGUAGAUGAGGUGAGGUGGAUGUGGUGUUUGUUUUGCACCGGUUGGUUUGUGGUGUUCUGCAGCAACGGCGCGUGCAUAUAUAUAGGAGGGAUAAGGAAUUGGGAAAGCGCUCUGGCCGGACAACGUGGUUUCAUCAAAGGAAAAUGGUUUGGUGGCGUCCCCAGUGCUGCUGUUAGUCAGUCUCUUUUGUGUCGUUUUGGGGAGUAGAUAUGUAUAUUCGAUUCAUUUGUUCUUGGCGGAUAGGUAUGCAGUUGAGACAGUGGUCUUCGUUUCCUCUUCUCAUCCUCCUUAUACUAUAGCUACAUCAGAAUAAGUGUUGGUGGUCAUAUUUUGCUAGCAUAUUCCACACGGCUUGUUACUUGUUAGACCAUCUUCAACGGCGACCGCAGAUUACCUCCAACAUCCAUCCAUGGACAAAGAGGAUCAGUCGUCCGUGGACAGAAAUAUGGGAGCCGGCUAUCCAACACUUCCCGCAUACAUUUCAAACACUUUUUCAACAACCCGGAUGUACCUCAUGCAAACACAUCAGAUUUCAUACAAACCUAGCGAAAACAUUUAUAUUUUUGACAUACUUUAACUGAAAAACGCAUGUACGACCACACAGAGGUCCACUACCAUGACACAGAUACAUUACACUAGUCUACGGCCGGCCGCGGACAAUCCCUUUGUCUUCCCCUUGUUAGGCAGUCCGGUGACUCAUCGGACUGCCGGGUGCCAAGGAGGUAUAUUCCUCCCCCGUAUCUUCCCUAUGUCUGGCUGCGCCGCUUAUCGAAGUGGCAAAGAGGGUGCUUCAGUCGGAGGGGAAAUGGGAAAUCCUCUACCGUGAAGCGUGGAUCAGGGUUGGUUUUUGGGGCAGGGGAAGACGGUGGCCCGUGAGACAGGGCGAGACAUUUGUUGUGCAUGCAGCGACGUAGCGGCGGUGGCCUUCCAAGGAUCCAAGUCGGCGGGCUCUCAUGUUCUACUUUUCCUCGAUGUUAUUGGCGGACGCGGCCGUGCUGGCUGCCGCCUUGCCGAUCUCCAAGCUGGCUUCUUUUUCCAUCGACAAGGCGCGGUCCUGCGAACGAUGAUGUCAGAUGGCUAGUAUCUGGAGGGUUCGGCAGGCCACCCAGCCAGAUUUUAUACCGGGCUCUUCCUACACGCCGAAUGUCAUGAAAAGAGUGAAGAAAAUAGUGGAAGGAGGAGAUGGGGAGAGGAGGAGAGGUGCGAUUGUUGCCCGGCGUCUGGCCUCCUUUAAAUAGCGAGCAGGUGCGAGGAAAUUUCCCGUUGUUGUGUUUAAUGCUGAUCGGCUCAUGAACAUAUGUUUGGCUGGAGUAGCUUUCUCGGCACACACGCGAAUUUAAUGGAGGCGUGUUCAGUCGGGCGUGCAGCGGGCGACGCCAUCGGCCAGCGUGCCGCUUUAAUGCCGAAGCCAGUGAGACGUCGCGCUCGCUCUGGGACAGCUUCAAUGCGGGAGCAGACGCUCAACGACAACAUGAAUGAGGGCAGCUGACGCCGGGCAGGAACGCGUGCCGGCGAGGGUGUGGAUUGGCAUCGGUGGGCUAGGGUUUCCAAAAGUGGGUGUGGGAGCAGUCCAGACGCCUGCAAAGGCCCCAUGCUUGUCUUAGGUUUGUGAGAGAAAGUGCGUCUCAAGACUGAACGGACCGAUACAGUUGCAUGGCAAAACACGUCCCCUCCGCCUGGUCCAGACGUAUGUGGAUUUAAGGGUCGUCGUUGGAGAUGCCCUUACUCAUGAGCGAUUUUGACAAUGUUCUUCUUACCUCCUCUUUGACAUGGUAGGUAAGAAGGUAAGAGUUACUGACCAACUACUUAAUUAAGGGCUCAUAUCUAUUACAUACGUUUUCCCUUCAUAUGAAAAGAGGAGGUUAGAGAAAUCAUGUGCACCUACGCCAUGCAUGAUUUAUGGCGUAAGUAUACACGUAGUUGCCGUUGUAUAAGAUGUUCAGGUAGAGCUUGAGUUUGGAUUAACUAAACCCAUUGUAAUAGAUCUUAGCUCAUUAAUUAAUGACUUGAUUAACUCUCACACUACUAGAAAAAGGGCUGUCAGUGGUGCACCUGUUUUUGCUAUUAAUGGCGCACUACAGGUGCGCCACUAUUAACACGCCACUAGUAACAAAUAGUAAUGGCGCACCUCUGAUGCGCCACUAGUAUCCCAGAUAAUAGUGGCGCACCAUACAAUGCGCCAUUACUAUGUCCACCAGUGCGUCAUUACUAUGCCUCCCAGGAGGGCAUAUUUACCUUGUGCUCUGAGUUACUAAUGGCGCACUUUCAGAUAAUGCGCCACUGAUGUGUUUAUUUCAGUGCGCCACUAAAGUGCAAUAUGGUGCGCCACUACAAUGAAUAUUAGGAAUUAUCUUUUUUUUUCUUAUAUGAUAUUUGCACAGGUUACAAAAUACAUUACUGCACAGAAUAUAAACAGCACAACAUAUAAACACCAGAUUUAUCGAGUACAAUAGAAGAUUAGUCUCCGAAUACAAUUCAUCAUAUUAGCCUCCGAAUUCAAAAUACCGAACAAAGUUAUAACAUUACAAGCCUUGAGACCGCGAGUAGCGAGUUUGUCUUCACAUUACAAGUCGAUAUCGAUCAUCUAAACUACCAUCACAUAGAAGAGAGCUGCGGUCAUCACGAUGAGCAUCAUCGCGAUGAAACUGGUCUUCACCCGGUUCCUCCAACGCUCCCUCCUCUCUCCCGCUAGUUAGCGCGCGUAUCUAGCUUCCGCCUCCGUCCUAGUGGUGUAUCCUUUGUAACUGUUACCGCUGAAACGGUGAACCUGUCUCUGACACUCUUUCCAGUCAUCGUAGACUCCGGGAACCUUACCCUUGUACACAACAUACGACGGCAUAUCUAUGCACUAGACAAACAAAACGUUAGUAGCAAUUCACAGACAAUACAUAAGCAAUAUAUAAGUAUGCAACAAAAGGAUCGGAAGAGAAAAGCAACACAUUAAUAGCACGAUUCAUGGUCGUACUAAUAAAUAGCAUCGAUUACAUAUAAGUUGAACGACUGUCCAAACUAAAGAGACAUACAAGUUCAUUAAAGUUUAAUUACAACAUGAGCUAAUCGAUAUUUCAGAACUACAUAGCAUCACUGCUUUCGACUCGACUCAGGGACCGGAGCGUGGAUGAAGCCGCCGUCUAUCGUGAUGGUAAUGAAAUCAUGGUCGUUGUCAGCCUGCAUUUGUAGCGUUGUUUUUAUCUCACUGUUGGACAGUUGAUAUCUAAGGUGGAACUGCCCCGAGGUACGAAGGACAUCUUGAUGGAUGAUUUCCGCAAACAAUGAGUGGAUGCGAAAGAAUUCUUGUCUGAUGUCCGCGUCCUGAAUUGCCGACAAGCGUGCGGCCCAAUCUUUGAGAUUAGUUGGUAGCAGAAGGUGAUUAUGGUCCCGUACAAUCGCCCGCAUGUGAUGGAGGGCGUAGUAGGCAUCCUUCUGACCGCCAGGCAGCUGCUUGACGCAUCGUAUUGUGGGUGAACACGUGCUUGCCUUACCUACAAAUUGGCCUCCUGAAGGUGCCUCCAGAUCUGGCGUAGCCAGGAAGAGCUUCAUCAAGAACUUUCUUAAUAUUUGUGUAGUCUUUCUUUGACUGAUGGUCCGAGUCAAAAUACGUGGCCAUGGAAUAUUUCGGGCUUAAGAGGAUGAGUGUGCAAUGUGUGUCACUGCACAAAACACGGAAUGUUAGAAAAAAAAAACAAACGAUCGAAAUCUAAGAAAUCAUAUGUUACGGGGCGGUGAGGGGAUGACUUACUCGGGAAAGUAAGGCACGAGGAAGUUAUCCUUAUCUGGGUUCGCCAGAAUGACACCUUCGAGGUAUGAACUCGCGACUUGCCGGUCCCCAGCGCUGCCCAAGAUAUUGGUACGCAUGUAGAAGGAGUCGACUAUCAUGAUGUCCGGGGUCUUGUCUCUAAUGAUCCGCAUCUCCAUACUAAGCCAAAAUAGCCGAAUGAAUGUGUAGUGCAGCGGAUGAAGGUUAAACAUAGCGAAGAUGUCAUCAAACCGCAGGACGAUCAUAUACCCCCGAUGGUGCUAUCCACAAAGCCCUUGCCCUCUGGCACCUUGGCCACGAAAACCGGGUAUGCCACAUCAUUCUCGGAGAGACGCCGCUUCUCCAAAGAAAGAACACUGUCAUGCAGACUCCGCAUAGCACCGGUUGCAGCAUUGAGCAGAUUAGUCGGUAGCAUCGGCCUACCCGCCACAUGCACCCUCCUCGAGAUAUCCUUAGGUGAAGGUGGCCCGUCCUGAGCACGGAUCGUACUCGGUGCCGGCUGGCUCGCACCCUUGUUAUUCUUUCUUUUCCGUCCCUUCUUCUUCUGUUGUAAUGGGAUCGAGUUCUGCUCAGAGACCGCCUUCUUGAGUGUGUUGGGGUUGAUAAUAUUUCGCACCUCGGCUAUCUGAGGCUCGGUGAAGGCGGCAGCUGGAGGCGUCUCCUAAGAACUGAACACCAGACGAUGCCUGUUGCAAUUGGGUUUCUCCGCGGUACCAGCUUGAUCGCGGUGGUCUUUUGCAGGGUUGGGUUCUUGAGAAGGAGGCCCCAAGAAUUCGUCACCGUACCCAUGUUCGUUGAAGUACUUAUCGACGUUGGUAAAUGUACCGUCAUCGUCUGGAUCCUGUGCCAUAUGCAUGUCCGGAUCCUGUGCCAUAUGCAUGUUCGGCAUGUCCGGCAGCGUUGCGGGGGUCUUGCCAUGGCUUGGCGCCAGCACGACUGGCGGUGUUGUCUGUGGGGUGCUGUCCCCCGCCCCCAAACGAAUCUGGCAAUUCGGCCAAAGCAGGGGCCAGCUUAAGCAGGCGCUGAGGGUCAUCACAUCAUCUUCGUCGGCCCCAGGGGAUCGAAAUGGAGGUAACAAGUCGUCGCAGCCCGGCAGCACCCGAACCAAUUGAACCCUAUACACGGUGGGUGGCAUCGGAUUACCAUGGAACACGGGGUUGCCCGGUUGAACGAUUCUGGCCUCGGCGACAUCGAUCAACUCGCCGCCCACGAAGUGCAGGAGAGUGCAUGGAACAUCGGCGGCGCCCUGCGAAAACAUGUAGGGCGUCAGGGAUGCCCAGUCAAAGGCAAGGAGAUGAAGUCAUCGGCCAAGAGGCUUAGUUACCAUGAUGGCAUCGAGCUCGGCUAAUGUCGAGGCACCGCCAACGGCGGGCGUGCAAGUGACAGAGGGCCGCUUGCUGCCAAGGUGCCGGCCGGCGUAUUCUUCCCACACCCGAGUGCAUUAAGCUCCAAUGCCCGUGCCGGCGCCAGAGACACCAAUACUGCCUCCGCCGGAGACACCAAUGGCGCUGCCGGCGCGUUGUGCGAGUUGCUGCCCGUGAAGCUGGGAAUCGGGGGCGGCCCCUGUUGGCCGCCCGCAAUCCACGCCUGCAGCCCCUCAAUCAAGGUAGGCACAAUGGUGGUGAUCGUCGCUCCCAGUUGGUCUCGCACUUGCUCUUGGACUAUCUCCGGAAUCUGCGCCACUUGUGCCUUGAGUUCUUGAACCUCGCACUCCUGGCUUUCCGAGUUGGUCUUUCUCUCCUUUUGCCCAGCGUUAUAGUAUUCUGACCAUUUCGUGGACAAGCCUUUGCCGGCCACACGGCCAGCUGAUGAUGGCUUACUGAACUUAUCCUCGUAUUUCAUUAAGUUCAACGCCCUAUUUAAAGUGGUGUCCCAAGGGGAGCUCUGAGACGACCCCGCGCUACUGCUUUUAGUGUCUUGCGGAAGGAACGUGAACCAUUUAGAAAUUUGGCUUCAUUAAUUAUAAUGCAACCAUAUGGAGCUAAUUACGCGGGGGUGUAUUCCUUACCAGAACAAGCUCAAGCGCCUUGGUCUUCGGAUCCGUGGUAAGCUCCUUUAUUACCGGGUCCACCUUGUACCGGGCCCUGACAUAGUUCCUGGUCUACUUGUCACGGUAUUUAUCGAAGAGGGGCGGUAGGCCUUGCUCGGCAUGCUCUGCGUCCUCCUUGUCCCAUAUAGGUUCCGCCACUCUGUAAUCGCCGGGACCGAUUUUUUGGACCCCUAAGUUCAAGUCCCGCAUAUCUUUCCCCCACUGACUUGAUUCCGCGGCUGCGUUGCUCUCGCACUUGAUCUUGAACUCCCGGUAGUCAGCUUCGCUGAUCGAAGGAAUUGUCUCCUUGAUCUUCUCAUAACUAUCACCUCUUAGAAUCCUUCUCCUCACCGCGGCUCUCCAAGUAGCCAGGGCCAUGCUCAUCUUCGUGAGGGCGGCACUGUUCACUUUAUUCCCCGAGAGGCGUGUGUUUGCGAAGUCACCGGGGAACUUGUAUCGUUCGUGCAGCUUCGUGAAGAGGAGGUUGCGCAAAUUCCCUCGGUCACGAUGCCUUAGGUUCUCGGUGUUGAUCGAUACGGUGCUCCGGAGAAUGCACCCGAGUUGUCCCGAGUACCCACUGACUAAUUCUUUGGGCGCCGUUGGAUGCCCACUGGAGGACACUUCAGUAAAUUCCUGCUUGAUGGUGCUGAGCACGUUUGGGCGCCGGUCCUUCUGUUGCCUCUUCGGUUGGCAGCCAUCUGUGCGUGCACUGCCAUCAUCAGUGGUGGCAUCCUCGGCGGCACCAUCAGUGGUGUCAUCCCCGACGCCACUAGGGGUUGUGUAGUCAGGAUCGGUGUCUUCCGCGGCGUCCUCAUAGCGGUGAGGUUCUUCCUGCAUCUCCUGGGACAGCUCCCAGAAUGCCUUACCCGAACCGCCGGCCUCAUCGUUGUGGGCCAUGUUCGCUCUAAAUAGGAAAAAAGUUUGGUCAAAAAGUUGGUUAUUGUCAAGGAACAAGAUCUCUAAGUUGACCAAAUAACCUAAUUCUUGAGGAAUGUCACCAAAAAGUUGGUUAUUGUCAAGGAACAAUUGAGAGAUGUUUGUGAUAUUGCCUAGGUGUUUUGGGAUGGAACCUGUUAGUGUGUUGUUGCUAAGGUCCAAGUCCACGUACUCAAGGUCUAAGAUAAUUUAAUCAGGGCAGUGGCAGUGGAUUUGUGCACAAGCUAAGCUAGCUAAGACAAUAGCUUCCUUGCAACCCACAAAAGACAAAGGAAAAGGGGUGAAAAAGGGGAGAUGGUUAGCUUUGAUGAGCAGGCAUCAUCUUCCUAACCCCCUUCUUCUUGUCUCCUCUCACUAUCUCUCUCACACACAUGGCAAGCAAGGGUGUCUGAGUGUGUGAAAUAAUACUAAACUAAUCCAACCACUAAAGCACUAGAUCACUACUAUUGUAUAAUCUUUUUAUAGCUUUGUAUAUAUGUAUGGCUCCAAUGGGUGCCACUGCCAUGCAUCCCUCUCCUAUCAUUUAAUCAUGAUUAGCCCAUCAUUUUGUCCAGAGAUUAGUUUUGGUUAAUUAAUUAACUAGUGUGUGCCACAGCAGAGCACAGAUCUCCAUCUAGCUAGUAGGAGUAGCUUUCCAAGGUCUCUUUCCAAGGCUUGUUUCGGUUGAGAAUCGGGCACCUUCUAGGUCAAGAGAAUUGGGCAUGACAUUUGCUAAUUUUCUUGACCUAGGAGUGCCCCAUUCUCAACCGAAACGGAAAUUAAUCAACAUUUCAGGAGAAAGGGGCCAUUUCAAAAGAUCACAAGUAGCAGAAGCAUCACUUGACAAAAUCACAAGUAGCAGCAGCAUCACAAGUAGUACAGCAGCAGCAUCAUCACAAGUAGUACAGCAGCAGCAGUGAAUACAGUGCGUACAGCAGCAGCAUCAUCAUCACAAGUAUUGUGAUGCCCCUUCAAACAAGAGUUUCUUGCUCUCUCUUUUUUUGACAUGAACAAACAAGGGUUGCCAAUUCAAACUAACUUGUGAUGAUGUUGUUCCUUUAAAGUGCAGUUCAGUAUAUGUAACAAAAAACAGGUGACAAAACUUGCACACCCCUCUCCGCUUAACGAGGCAGGGAAACAGUGCCAGGAUAGCAACCAAACACUGUCCAGGCACAGUUUAGGGAGGCUCCAAGCCAGACACGAUUCAGUGUGGACACUAUCCAAACACACCCUACAUGACUGUGGAUACUUGUAAAAACUUGGUUUAGCUCCUUUCACACAUAGAUAAGCAGUUGGGAAAAAGACACAAUUUCCUGUAAGAACUUGAAAAAGAAACUAUGCCAUAUGUACUUCAAGACUUCAAGUAUAUAGCCAUAAAAAAUAGUUCAUGCAUGUAUGAGCCGUGGAUCGUGCUGUUUCCGAAAAGAGUAAACCCACAGGGGGCAACUUACCUGUGAUUUCAGGCUAAUUGUAUUAAAAUUUGAAGCAACUACUAUCAGACAUGUAAAAAAAGGUGCUAUCUUUCUCUUGUGCUAUCUCUCUCUUGCAAAAAAGUGCAGUUCCUUUAAAGUUUCAAAUAUGCACUUGCAUUGCAUUUAAACAUGCCCAUUGGGUGUGGGUGAACCAUUCAGAACAAUCAGCCAUGGCAAUGUCACAUUUCAGCACCAAAGUGGCUUGCACUUCUUUUUAGUUGAACUUUUUUUUAAUAGACAAACAACUAAAUGCUCAGAACUACUACUACUACCACUAGAUCAUUUUCCUCUAGAACAGAACCAAACAUUUUUUUUAUAUAAAAAUACGUAGUUCACAGAUUUUGGCACAAGAAGUCCAGUUCAUGUCGUACCAACAAUGCUUAAAAUAGUUGGCCAAACAAAAAAAUUAACAGUAAGGUGCAUUGACUUUUUCUUUAAAAGGUUAUACCUGAAGAACUAAGCUCCAGGUCCACUACAAACAAGUUUCAGUUCCAAGUUUGGCACUUGCUGUCCGACACAAGCCACAGCCCCCUUGAACAUUCAGCAAGUGCACGAAACAAACGCAUGUUACAAGACAAAAAACAUAUUGGCGCAUCAAUUGGAAGCCAUCCAUCAUAUACCAUCAGAAAAAGGCUAGAGAGAAUUGGGGAAACAAAGGUGAACCUCUCUCUUCUUGCACUCCUUGUAGUUGUCGAACUGUUGCUGGCACUUGCUCUUGUCCUGGUUGGUCUCCAGACCUGGAGACACGGCACAUCAUUAGAGAUUUCAUCAAAUACACACGAAAUUGUCCAGAAAUUAUGGCCAGAAAGUGAACUGGGUUGAUUGGAUUAGAAAUUUAGGAUUAGGGGCGGAGGAUGCGCGUACACUUGAGGGAGGCGGUGUAUUGGGGGAAGCAGGAGGAGUCGGCGAUCCGGGCCGCGCUGGGGUAGGGCCGGAGUUGAGGUGGAGCGGAGACCGGAGCUGAGGUGGCCGGUGUUGAGGAAGACGGGGGCGACGGGGAGCGGGCCGGCUGGUGGUGGAAGCCCCAGCCCAGGCACGGGAUCAGCUCCGAGGGAGGAGAGCGCGAGGUCGGCGGGGACGGGGGAUCUCCAGCUCGAACGGAUCCUCCAAGACAGCGUAGCGGAGCUUGGCGCAGCUCCUAGGCACAACGACGGAGCACGGGGCGGUCGGUGGCUGCGGUGACGCGCGGCGGCCGCGCUCGGGGAGGCGGGAGCCGCGAAGGGUUCGGUCGGCUGGGCGCGCCGCGGCGGAGGGCCGGUAGUGGCGGCUUGAACCCUAGGUCUCGUGCUCGGGAAGGGAUCCGGUGGUGGGCUCGGGGAGGAGGCGGCGCUCGGGUGGGAGGGAGGGGGUGGAUGGGUGCAGCGAAGGCGAGGGAGGGGUGGGUGGGGGCGUCGGAGCCCGGGAGCGAGGUCGCCGGUGGGUGGGGGCGGCGGUGGUGGUGGAAGGGGAUCGGCGGCGGUUGCGAGAGGGGAGAAGGACGAACGGGUAGGCGAGGGGCGAGAUGGGAGAGGCGAGGGACGAGGGCUGGAUAUUUUAGUGGGGGAAGGUUAGCAAUGGCGCACCUCCUAGGGGUGCGCCAUAAAUACCGUGAUAGCAAUUGCGCACCCUCCCCUGGUGCGCUAUUACUAACUUUUUUUUGGAUAUUUAGUUGCAUAUAAUAUUUUUUUAGAAAAUAACGAUCAAAUUUGAAAACAUUUAUGAAUGUGAAAAAUAUCAUCAAAUUUGAAAACAUUUAUGAAAAAACAUGAAUAUGAAAACAUUUAUGAAUAUGAAAAAAUAUCAUCAAAUUUGUUAUUUGAAAAUAUAUUUUUUGGAUUUUUAGUUGCAUUCAUUUGUGAAUUAGUAAAACAUUUAUGAAUAUGAAAAAAUAUCAUCAAAUUUGAAAAAAUAUUCAUGAAUUCAAAAAAUGCCCAUGAAAUUUAACAAUAUUCAUGAGUUCAAAAAAUAUUAACAAAUUCAAUACUUUUUGUGAGUUAGAAAUUCAAUACGAGAAUAAACAUAAAUAAAAAUUGGUAUACCGGAAUAAACAUAAAUAAAUAUUCAUGAGGACUAGAACAGAAGAAAUGUCAUUUCCAUAUGUCGAAAUACAAUCGAGAAAUGAAGACUACAAUUUAAAUACAAUCGAUCUUAGCUAGCUAUCUUUUCACAAUCUUCUUGUCCUUCUUUUUCGCAAAUGGAGUUCUUCUCUUGAACAGACGUCCUUUAGGUAGGAUGGUCUUGCUUCUUCUUGUGGUGUAUGGUACUUCAUCGUCGUCAUCAUGUUCCAUCUUCGGGUCGCCGUACUUCUCGAAGUCUUUCUCAUUGGCGACUCUAUCCAUUCCGAUGAUCUUCAUUUUGCCUCUCCUCACGACAACACGACUGGGCUUUGACAGGUCCGUAAUGAAGAAGUAUUGGUCCACUUGGGAAGCCAGUACCCAUGGCUCAUUUUUUGCGGUGAUAUUUGCGCCCGCGGUCUUGGAUUUGGCUUCGGGUAUAACCAUGGUGGUGAAAUACGGGUGUUCUUUUAGGACGCUCUUGGCCCAUCUGACACGGAACAUCGGGACCUUCUCUCCAGCGUAGCUCAGCUCCCAGAUCUCCUCGAUCCUUCUGUAGUAUCUGUCCUUGUCGUUACCGGUGUAGGAUUCCAUCGUUAUCCUGGAGUUCUGAUAAUCAUCGCUCUUCAUGUCCUUUUCCUCGGUGUAGAAUGUGUAGUCGUUGAUAUCAUACGUCUCAUAGGUCAUCAGGUUGUGCUCGGCGCCCUAUGACAAUGCGAAUAUGAGUUUUCCUUCCGCAGAAGAAUCCUCAUGUAAAGGGUACGACAGAAGCUUCUCCUUGAACGAAUGCGUGAAACAUGAGUUGUGCUCUUUGAUUAUAUUUCCGUCCGUCCUCUGUUGGCCUCGGUCAUUGUACGGCUUCUCAAUAAAGGUUUUGUGCUCUACCACCCAAGGAUAGACCACGUCUAUGUGUUGUAGCACGACUAGGUUUGCUCUUUCAAAGUCGGUGAGUCGACCCUUGAAGUCGACAUGCAUUUCGCGGCGACCCUCGUGGUGACCCCAUCCAGCGAGCCUGCUGAGGUGCCUGUUGACGGGCAGACCAACGGGGUUCUCGAUGCCUAGAUAAUUCGUGUAGUAGGAGAUGCACUCUUCGGUCAGAAAGCCCUUGGCUAUGCUUCCCUCUGGACGUGACAUGUUGCGAACGUAUCCUUUGAUGACACCGUUCAUCCUUUCGAACGGCAUCAUGCUGUGCAGGAACGUCGGCCCGAGUUGGAUGAUAUCCUCCACGAUAUGGACCAGCAGAUGCACCAUAACGUCAAAGAAUGCAGGCGGGAAGUACAUCUCAAGCUCGCAUAGUAUCACCACGAUCUCUUCCUGUAGCCUUCUGAGCUGCCUCACGCCAACCGACUUCCGAGAGAUGACGUUGAAAAAGUUGCAUAUGCCAAAUAGCAUUUCACGGACGUGCGCGUCCAUGAUCCCACUGAUUGCAAUUGGAAGUAUCUGCGUCAUCAGCACGUGACAGUCGUGAGACUUCAUCCCGCUGAACAUCUGCUUCGCUGAGUCUAGGUAUCGGCUUAUCUUCUCCGGUAACCGUAAGGAAGUUUUACUCCUACGAGGCAGGUGAAAAACUAUUCGUUCUCCUCCUGACUUAGAGUGAAGCACGUGGGAGGGCAGUCAUUUCCAAUCUUCUUGGCCUUUUUGCCUUUGCGACGACUUUCUGUGUCCUUCGCCUCAUCAUCAUCAUCAUCAGCAUCAUUAUUAGCGUGAAGCUCCUCCCUGAUGCCCAUUGAUUUCAAGUCUGCCCUUGCUUUCGGCCCAUGUUUGGUCCUCUCUGGCAUGUUGAGCAGGGUACCAAGCAGACUCUCGCACACGUUCUUCGUGAUAUGCAUGACAUCAAGGCUGUGAGGCACACGGAGGAGCUUCCAGUAUGGCAAGUCCCACGUAUUGGCUGGCGUUUUCCAUAGCGUGUCUAGCUCCUCUUUCAGCAGCCCUAAAUACAGACUGAUGUCGUUCCCUGGUUGUUUCGGCCCUUCAAUUAGCAUACUCAUGUGAAUGUACUUCCUCUUCAUGCACAACCAGGGGGGAAGGUUGUACAUCCACACAAACACAGGCCAGGUGCUAUGUGUGCUUCUCUGGCUGCCAAACGGAUUGACUCCAUCGGUGCUCGCGCCCAGCAUGAUGUUCCUUGGAUCGUCCCCAAAUUCUAGGUGUUCGAAGUUCAACGCUUGGCACUGGCUCGCAUCCUUAGGGUGACUCAGCAUCUUGUCUUUUUUAUUUAUCUCCGGAUCAUUUCCAUCAUAUUCUCGCUUCUUCUCCUCCCUAUACGCGUGCCAACGCAGGAGCUUUGCUACCUUAGGGUCCAUGAAAUACCGCUGCAGACGAGGAGUGAUCGAAAAGUACCACACCACUUUUCGAGGAGCUUUAUUCCUCUUCUUGUAUCGAGUGACGCCGCACGCCGGACAUAUGGUAGACUCCGCGUGCUCGUCAAAUGAUGCAAUUGUUCAUGCACACAUGAUAUUUCACGUGCGGUGAAUUCAGAGGACACACGAUUUUCUUCGCCUCCAUGAAACUGGUCGGGCACUUGUUCCCCUUGGGAAGACGUUCGUGCCAGAAUGACAUGUUCUCGUCUAAGCAUGCAUCGUUCAUUUUGUGUUUUACCUUCAUCUACAGAGCCAUGAGCGUUACUUUCAGGCGGGUAUCCUCGGGCCUGCAUCCUUCAUACAAUGGAGUAACCGCGUCUAUCUCCAGUUGAUCCAGCUUGGCUUUCUCUCGGGCGGCAGCUCUUGCGUUAUCCGUCUACUUGAGAAGCAGCUCUUGAAUAUGAGGGUCCUGCACCCAGCCCAUCGAUGGUCCAUCGUCGUCUGCUCCGUCGGCAUCUUCAUCUUCAUGAUCAUGCCCUUCGUCUGCUCCGGCAUCUUCCUCAUCAUCAUGUCCUGCAUCUUCUACAUGAUGACUGUGUACAGCAUCACCGUCGUGAUCAUGUCCUGGAGAUUCUUCGUCUUCUCACCCGCUCGAGCAGCGGUGGUUGUCUUGAUGCCCUUCCUCAUUUCUUGCCCGGCCCCCAUGGACGACUUCAUAAUCAUCUUCAUCACCUUGCCACCGAUAGCCAUCCAUGAAACCACGCAAGAGUAGGUGGCCCCGCACCUGUACGGAAUCCGGUUCCAUAAGGCUCUUCAGCUUGCAUCUUCAACACAGACAUCUUAUCUCCGUCUCAUUCUUUUGAAUCAUCUCGGGCUUCGCGGAGCUCAAAAACCUAUUCAUGAUGCCUUCGGUCAUCGUGCGGACCAUGGUCGCCUGCGGGGUAGAGCAAAGCAAUAUUUUAGAACCAAAAAAAAAUUGGCAUGACUUUGCCUAAAAAUAGGACCAAAAAGAAUGCGUGCCAAAUUCUUGCCGAGUGGUGGCGCACAGAGUGAGUGGUGCGCCAUUACUAGUUAAAACUAGUAAUGGCGCACUAUCCCCUGAUGCGCCAUUACUAGUUUUAAAAAAAAUUGUUAGUAGUGGCGCCAUUAGUGAUAUGAACACUAAUGACGUACCUAUACAUGGUGCGCCACUGCUAUAUAGCAGUCGCGCACCACAUUUGUGGUGCGCCAUUAAUGUUCAUAUUAGUUAUAGCCCUUUUUUUAGUAGUGCUACCUUCUUAUCUCACAUGUAAAAAGAGAAGGUAAGAGGGAGCAUGUUAAAAUUUGCCAUGUAUAUGCAAUGCGUUCUUAUUGACGGAUGGAUGCGGUUGGGUCAGUGGUCGUGGUCGUCACCGCGUUGGUCUUCAUAUCUCCUCCUCCUUAUACUACUACGUAAUACAUUAGAAUUAGCGUUAGGUAAACUUUAGGUAGGAGACUGAUAAUAGACAAGGAUGAUGUCCUUGUCACGUUUGUUAUGUUAAUAUACAGUCAGGCUCAUUCAUACAAGGCUUGCCCCAGCACUGAGUUACAAGAAAUCAGCUUAAGAUAUCUUGCAAUCACACCAUAAUCAUACACAUAUGUGAUUUUUAUGCAAAUCCUUUCUUUGACCUACUACGACCAGCAACUACCGGCCUGCACAAUUUUCUAUCAUUCCAAAACAAAACGAGCUAUUGUACAACAUGGAGAUAAGACAAUUACAAGGGGAAGAGAUCUAAGAAGACAAAGUACAUAACCAAGAAAUAAGAAUUAUUGCUUAUAGAAAACAAUUUUUUUUGAAAAGGAGGAAGACCCCCGGCCAAGCCUAACAUCCAAGACCUGAGGCCCCGACCAAGCCACUUGCCGGCUAUGGGGCACACACCGGUCCGGCGCACACACAGAGGCCGCCGCAGCCAACUGCCACCAAUCCAUCUUCAGAGCUGUACUGACGCAUCAACCUUGCCUGGUCUAGCUGCUGUCGAUGCCACCACGACGCCAGACAACGCCACCAUCAUGGACUCGUCCAUCAACACAAGCCUAGCAGCGAGACCGCGCUGCUCCAUGCCGCUGAGACCCACCAUUGUUGACAUGUCAGAUGCAAAGCUGCUCCUCCUUUACGAACACCACAUGCAGCCACUGGUGCCAUCCCUCCACUCCCGACCGAGCCCCAAUGCCCCUGACGACGCCACCAAGAAGGUCACGACGCGAACAGCGCCGCUACCGCCAAAUUCAAAGAGGAUUGGAGGUUUUCACUCGGCAUGAGAUCGGGGUGGGUAGAUUGGGCCCUCAGCUGCGCCUUCAUGAAGGAAAGCGACACCCAUGGGCGCCGCCGCCGCCGGGCUGGCCUGACCGGCCAAGGUUUCCCCCGGACACAAGGUACACCACCAGGGCUCACCAUCACUGAAGCCUGUAGCCGCAAACCACCGGGACGCCGAGACAGGCAACAGGGGAAAAGGGAACCUCCAGAUCUGACGCCACGACACCAACCCAUCGGAGGAUCACGGGCCACCCGAUCCAAUCCCCAGCAGCCCACCUGCCCCGCUGCGCCCGGACACGGAGGCCAACCCAAGGGCUGCCACCCCAGAUCCAGGGCCCUCCGCUCGAAAUCAGGCAGAGCAGAGCCAGCCUGCCGCCACGACCAUCACUGGGUCACCGGCCGGCCGCCACGCUGUUGUGCUCCAGAUGGAGGUCGCCGUGGGCCAAAUCGGUGCCGCCGCCAUCGAUAAGGGACUCGUCCUCAAGAUUGGGGAUCCCGCGCAUCCCGAGCCCCGAGUGAGAGGGAGAUGCCUCCGCGUCGCCAUCACAUGCACGGGCUUAGCCCGGCGCCAACCACCGGCGGCGGCGGAGGGGAGAGCGGGAAGGAGGAGGGGCACCGGCGGCGGAGGGUUGGGUCCCCUUGGUCACCCGCGCGGUGGGCGAUGGAGGGGAAGGGGGAGGGGGAGGGGGAGAGCUUACAGAAAACAACUACAUGUCACUAAGGAACAGAAUGAGAGAUCAGAUAGAAAAGUAGAGAAAUGAGUAAACGGCUUGUGGCGUAUGCUUGCCCAUAGCAGAAGGUCAUCUCCACAACUAGGAAUAAGAACAGGGUAGUCCUCUUUUUUUUUGUUAAAUCUUCGGGUUAUGGUGCUUCCAAAUAUUCCAAAGAAAGCAGAUGCACAACAAAGAGGGGACCUAUUUGGUAGAAAAUCGAGGCCGAGGACAAGCAAUCACAAGCAUAACAUCAAUAUUUGUUGACAAGGUUUUGCAAACUAGUCUACUCACCAAGCAGGGUUACGAGAGCUCCUCCCCAGGUACUAAAUUGAGAUGACAAAUUCCACUAAGGCAAUCGAACAACAUGUCUAGCCAAUCACCACUACCGGUCAGGCCAUCCCUGCCAUGUCCCCCGCACCUUCCCUCGUGUGAUUCAUGUCUAGACUACCAGUUUCGUCUAGUCUAUUUUGGCAACCCGUGGUGCCUUUAUAUGUUAGACCAUGGCUACGCGUAUUUGAUUCAAACACCUUACAUUCCGCAAAGUACAAGUCUAAUAAUAGUACAACUCUAACACAUAUUUGACAAAAUUCAAACAAACUUAUGACUCGUGAAUAUGUCUUCGUCAUCUUCAAGCUCCCAAGCAUGGACCACAAUGUACUAAAUUUGGACUUGAACCAUCAGGCAUGAUAGAGCAUGAUGAACAAAACAUACAUGAUAAUCGGACCAUUAUAAGUACUAAACAAUCUAGACAUGCAAUCUGAUAGAUAAGAAAGCAUAGGAUGUCCAUGUUGAUUUGUAGUACGAAUACACCAAUGGAAAAGCCUAAUUAAAAGAAGCGAUAAGAGUACUUACGAGAUGGGUGUAGCAUAAGCAACGUUAGAUGCAGCGGCGGUGUCCUUAGUAUUGUGGUUGGACGGAGCCAACAAGUAGUCCAUGAACUAGUUGAUGGAGCAUGAACAUUCGAGUAAUCAUGGGAGUAGUAGCAGUAUUGUGGUCCCCAAAAACCUAAUCACCUCUCUCUUUUACAUGAUUGCAAGAGACGGGGUUCCGGAGGCCUGCUCCCUCCCCCUUCACGGUGCACGUCGAGAAGCAGGAUAGAGAAACUUAGAAGCGGCACAGUUCACAUAGACUUCAGUCAAAUAUUAAAAUUCCUUAUUCAGAUGAAACAUCAAAGUUAAGAGCCAACAUCAAAACAAAAGGAGCUCCACAUGUUGGUUCUUUGUCCAAUGAACUAAUUUUUCAUCCAGCACUAAACAAGCUUGUGCCAUGACACCAUCCAUGCAUAGAGUGGAAUACUUCACUUGCUAACUCUUCGGACGGUCUUACACCCCAGUUCGACACUUCUUUAUUUUCCUGUUUCCUCUGCAAAAUUGGCCAUGAUUUAAUUCAAAACCCCACCAUGUUGAUCUUAGUACAUCGAUAAUCAAUUUUCUUAUCAUCAAAACAAGCACCACUUCUAAUUAUUCAAAUGGUCAAGAAAACAUAAGCAAUUCCAACCAUUACUAGAUGUUUGACUUGCCUUGAAAAUCAAGAAAUCCAUGAAGUAAACGUUUAUUCGACUGAAUGUCUGAUUCAGAUACUCUAAAUGUAGAAGGCACACUGCAUAACAUUCCAAACUAGUUUUGCAAGAGAACACUUAAGGAAAAAGAUCAACUAUUUUAUCUAAACCACAAAAUUGACAUCUAUUUUCUUAUUGUUAAUCCCUCUUCAGGAUCAACAAUUAAGGAAAAAGGUGAUAAAAUUUUAUUCCCCCUUCUCGCAGCUUUUUCGGAAGUCCCUUAGGUAAAUCUCUGCAAUUUAACAUGAACGUGAAGUAAAAAUUAUGCUAUGGUGAUCAAAUAAGCAUCAAAUUGGAGUACUUACCUUAUGAAAUCACGUAGUGUUGCCGUGUAUAUCCUAGUUUUGCAGAGGCCGGGUGUGCGCUCAUUGUCAUUGUACCAAUUGAUGUUACAUUAUGAGUCAAUACAAAACGCCCUUUGUCGAGAAAAUGAAAUCAUGAUGCAAAAUGCAUAUAUCAAUAAUUAAUCAUUAUUGUUUCCAUAGCAUCGACACCACAUAUAAUGCAUGCAUGUACUCCCUCCGUUCCUAAAUAUUUGUCUUUCUAGCUAUCUUAAAUGGACAACAUACGGAUGUAUAUAGACAUGUUUUAGAGUGUAGAUUCACUCAUUUUGUUCCGUAUGUAGUCACUUGUUGAAAUCUCUAGAAAGACAAUUAUUUGGGAACAGAGGGAGUAUAUGUUAGUACAAAUUGAUAAUCCAUCUUGUCCCUUGUUAACAGGCACCAACUGGACAAGUGGUCACAGGGCAUGCCACGACCAGGCCACUAUAGUCGUGAGACAUAUAUUAGUCAGAUGUUAUUCUAUACUUUCAAGGAAGAAUAAGAGUCCGACGUUAGCACGCGCAAGCAUGCUAAGUGUGUGUGUGUAAGUUAAGUAUGUGAAACAUGCAUGAACUUGCGCCGAUUAUACUGUUAGCCGUUUUAGGUUUUGGAUUCAUCGGAGUCUUGCCACCGCUCUACCUUAGCUAGGGCAUCUUCUAGUCACUGAACCGCCGUCACACACGCCACUGUGAUAACAAAUGCAGACCUUGAUACCGAAUGCCAAAUUGCUGCUCGAAAGAAACUGGAUGAACCCACAGUACAUGUAUGUCACUAUUUCCUUUUAUUUAGUCGCCCAACAACAACCUGCACAUGGCUAGACAACAUAACCGGAGAAAAACUUUACUUGGCCGCAACGUGGACUAGCACGCUUCUGGCCUACAAGCAAAGUACCUACGGAUUCCAUUGAGCCGAGUUUACAAAUUAACAUAUUGCAAUAUAAACUAGAGUACUUGACGCAAACACACCGCUUAACUUCGUCCUGGUCGGACGAUGUCGGAGAUCAGGUGGUCUCACCCCUUUGGAGGCUUACUCUCACUUUUUAUUCUUAGGCGGCAGCUUCCUGUUCUUCUUCUAAGUCAGCAUCGGGUUAUUCCUGGACUGCACCUGGUUCUUCUUGAACGACGGUGGUUUUGUCAACUGGGUACUGAUUGACGGUGCCUUGGUCUUGUUAGGGGCAUCCUUUGCAGGUUCCUUCCCCUUGCCCAUGACGGGAUCUCCUUCUCUUCUUCUUCUUCUUCUUCUUCUUCUUCUUCUUCUUCUUCUUCUUCUUCUUCGGCGAGGUGGCUGAGGCGAGGUGGCUGAGGUGAGGUGGAUGUGGUGCUUACUUUGUUCUUGUUGGGUUGAGGAAGCCCCAUAGCAACGACUGCAUAUAUAUAGGAGGCACGGAGAAGGUCUUGGGAAAGUGCUCCGGCCGGACGACGCGCUAUCACGGGAGGAGAAUGGUUUGGUGGCGUCGCCAGUGCUACUGCUGGUAGUCAGUCUCUUUUAUUUCAUUUUGGGGAGUAGAUAUGUAUAUUUGAUGCAUGCAUUUGUUCUUAACGGAUGGGUACGCAGUUGGCUCAGUGGUCGUGGUCGUCGCCACGUUGGUCUUCAUUUCUUCUCCUACUUCUCCUUACAGUAGUACUUCAGAAUAAGCGUUGGUGGUUAAGUUUUGGUACCAAAUGCCACACGGCUUGUGACUAGAUGUUAGUCAUAAAUAUGCAUGUACUGUACGUCAUGCAUCAUUUAUGUAGUAACUAUACACGCCGUUGUCGUUGCACGAGUUGUUUGCCUAAAUUCAAAACUUUUGAUGACGGGCCAAAACUAUGUCAAUAUUCUCUGGUAAAAAUGGUGGGACCCGUACUAACGUGUGGGAGGACCACGUGCCGGCGUAAGUCAAGUGUUUGGACCCACGUGUCAUACAUAGUUCAUUUUGUCCAUGUUAUAUUUAGAGUGGAACCAUGUAUCAGUACAAGACAUGUGUCACCGUUUCGACUAAUCCGUGUUGUCGUAGAUUUCUUUCAUUUCAAUCUAAUUCAUGCAUGACUUUUAACAUAUCUUCAAAGAAUACGAGCUGCUGUAUUCCUGUUGCUUUUAUUACUUUAAAAAUAUAAUCAAUAGAAGUUCCUGGUUAGUUCAUUUAGAUUCAGUGGCACACAUACAUGGUUUCGACAGUAAAGCUAGUAGCUUAUACAAUAUUCCGCGGCCGGUGUCCAUCAGAGGUAUAGAUACCACUAACGGGACACAUUACAACACCGCCCAGUGGCCUUAUCUCUUGUAGUGAUGGACUCUUUUGUCAUUCGUUCUGUUGUAACCAUGAGUGGGACAAGAUACUCGAUUUGCCUAUCUUAGGAUUUGUUGAAUGCAAGGUGGUUAAGGGAGGUUCUUAAAGAAAUAAACCAACUUUUCUUUGUGCAUCAAUUCUUGUUCAUAGAGGGCAGAUGCUUAAUUAGGCAUCCCUUCUAUAGAGAUAACCGAUGGUGCUUAAACAAGAAACUUAAAGGUUUUUCCUUUAGAAUCAGCGGACGUUCAUAUACAUGAAUUUACACUCCCCUAUGAAUUCACAUACGCACACUCUAUCCCUUAUGAGCGCCUCUGAGAAAUUGAACCAACAGGUUGCGAGAUUGACGAAGUCAUGACCUGUGCAUCGCUGUCGAUGGGUCGUCGCUUACAGCGAAAGAAUAAGUCGUUAAACCCAGAAAUAUAUCGGGAAAACUGCAAACACCCUUCUCAAGUCAAGGACUUGAACCCGGUUGGAUAGCUUCCACCACAAGGAACCUAACAAACUGUGCUACGCUCAAUUCACCGAAGAGAUAAUGGUUGCGGUUUAUUAACCCUAUAUGUAUGUCUUUUUCGGCUCUUUCUUCUUAUUCAACUUCCCAACAAUAACCUCCCACAUCACUCAUAACACAACACAAGGAAAAAAAGGACUUCAUUUGGCCGCAACGUGAACCAGCACGCUUCUGGCCUAUAGACAGACUGGCUACGGAUUCUACAGCAGUGAUCGGAUCGAAUCAAAUUUACAAAUUAACUUACUGUAACGCAAACUGAGCUACUCGACAUAAACACACAUAACUUCAUCCUGGCCAGUGGACGUCGAUCACUGCACGGCUGUUGUCACCUCUUUCGAGGCUAAUUCUUCUUAGACGGCGUCGUCUGUUUCAUCUGCUUCUUCUGAGGCAGGAGCGACUUCCUCCUAUGGGCUGUCUUCGUCAAUUGCGUAUUGCUUGACGAUGCCUUCACCUUCUUUGGGGGAACCUUUGCAGCUUGCUCGCCCAUGACAAGAUUUGCUUCUUUUCUAAUAAUUCUUCUUCUCCAGUGGUAGCUGAGGUGAGGUGGAUAUAGUGUUUACUUUGCUCUGGUUGGGUUGAGGAAGCCUGCAGCAAUGGCUCCAUAUAUAUAGGAGGGGGAAGGUCUUUGAGAAAGCGCUUCGGCCAGACAACACGCUUCCACCGUGUGUGAGAAUUAUUUGGUGGCAUUAAUGUUUCUUGUGCCAGUCUGUUCUCUUUUGGGGAGUAGAUAUGCAUUAUAUUCAAUGCAUAUUAGUUAAGGAUCGCUGCUCAAUGGUUUGGUCAAUGGUUGGGUAUGCGGUUGGGUCAAAGGUUGUGGUCGCUGCCGCGUUGGUCUUUGUUUCUUCUCCUCCUGCUCCUUAUAUUACUACUACAUCAGAAUAAGUGUUGGUGGUUCAGUUUUGGUAGCACACGCCAGACACACAGAUGGCUUGUUAGUUGUUAGCAAGUACACACGAUGUUGCCGUUGCAUGGGAUGUUUUGCUAGAGCUUGAGUUUACAUUAGCCAAACCAAUUGGUAUCAUGUACGACAAAUCUUGUAUAUAUGUUUUGGUAGAGCUUGAGUUUAGAUUAGCUAAACCAUAAUAACUUUGUAUAUUAGUUAGGGGUCGAGUUGACAAGAGAGUUAUUUACCCAGGUUCAGACCUUGUGAGGGAGAACAUUAAUCAAAUUAUAUUUCAUGAGCUGGCCAGUAGGCAAAGAUCAUGUCAAGGUUAAAAAAUGAAUAGGAAUCGGCCGGCGCACGCACAAGCUGCCUAGCUUCGUCGACCUUCUCUUCUUUAUUUAAUUUACUCCUCCUGCUACCACGGCAUCUCGUUAACCACUAAUAUUGGAGCAAGCUAAGUAUGUUAAUACCGCUACAUAAGAACACCACUCAACCGCUCGCUAGAGUCUUCCCGCUGCUCAAUUACUAGCGCACUACCUUGAGCUGUCCCGCUUGUUUCUCCUUGGUGGUAAUGCUAAAGAAUAUUGCAAGAAACUGGAAUGAACACGCAAAAGACAGAGGUAGUUCAGCAACGUGUUAAUUAAUCACGUGUACGUCUUUUCUGACUCAUUUCUUUUAUUUGGUCACCCAAUAACACCAGAAAAACACAAAUAGCCACAACAUGAACUGGCACACUUAAUGUUUUUGCAGGAAAAACUCUCGUAAUUCAAACAAAAAAAAUUCAAAAAAAAUAAUUCAAAAAAAAAAUCAUAAAAUUUCCUUUAGUCCCGGUUGGUGUUACCAACCGGGACUAAAGGGCCAGGGCAUUAGUACCGACCCUUUAGUCCCGGUUCAUGAACCGGGACUAAAGGCCCUCAUCAACCGGAACAAUAGGCCCUUUUUCUACUAGUGUCACUUAGUUCCGAGAUACAAGGCCAUUUAUAAAAAAAAUCUAAGAAAUACAGUUUACCACUAUUUGAAUUGAUACUGAAAAUUGCAUUUUUUUUGGAAUGUUGAAAUACUAUGAACAAAAAUCUAAUCAUGCGUGUUUUGUUUUGACAAAUCCUUGCAUACAUUUAAAUUGAUAUUAGAAUCAAAUAAGCUUUCUAUCUAAAAUUGUGAUUUAUUUGCUUCCAAGACAUCAUAUUCUCGUUUGAGAAUGUAAAUAUUAUUACCUUCUCCUCUAUGCUUUAAUCUCUAUUGUCUCCUCUUAUUCAGUUCAUAGAUCGUAUGUCUCCUUCAUGUAAUCACAUGUACUCACACCAUUAUAUUAUUUAAGUUUGACCGACAAUAUGACUAUAUCUAAUGGUUGUGUAUGUGAGUGAGGUUGCUCGUUCUCAUCCACCUAGGUAAUCUUUUGGAUUGGCAUGGCUGUUCUGUCAUAUUGUUGAAGUAGAUGCAUAUGUGUAUAUUAUUGUGUAAAUGCUCACCGGCACCAAGAGAGAAUGUGAAACUUCCAAUAUUUUUCAUGGGCAACAUAUAAAAGAUAAGCUAAGAUGGCCCUAUAGCGCAGAUAAAUGUCACUAUAUCCCGUUAGAAGCACUAAAUUGUACAUAUGUGUUGUUUAGCAGGAUUCUAGAGGUUAUAGCCGCGGAAAACAUUCAACACACAUCUCUAUCCAAUUGUGAUAAUCAUACAUGCUAGCACAUUAUUAGACAUAUCUGUAGUAUGCUAAGUGUAACAAUAUGGCCUCUUCUACUUUGUUGAAGCAUCGUAUCAUGUUACAAAUAUAACGAAAAAUCUUCAAGAUCUGCUUGUAAAUCCCCAAGUACAUAAAUUCCCAUUCAAUUUAGAAGUCCGACAAGAUGCCAAGGCCGGCUCAUUGGGGGCAUUCCUCAAGUAUGUUACAUGACUUGACUAUAUAAUUUUAUUUCCCAUGCAGAGGUAGAAGAAAACCGUCCUCAAUAGUGUCUCCUCUUAUUCAGUUCAUAGAUCGUAUGUCUCCUUCACGUAAUCAAAUGUACUUACACCAUUAUAUUAUUUAAGUUUGAUCAACAAUAUGACUAUAUCUAAUGGUUGUGUAUGUGAGUGAGGUUGUUCGUUCUCAUCCACCUAGGUAAUCCUUUGGAUUGGCAUGGGUGUUGUGUCAUAAUGUUCGAGGUAGAUGCAUAUGUGUAUAUUAAUUGUGUGAAUGCUCACCGGCACCAAAAGAGAAUGUGAAACUUCCAAAAAAAUUCAUGGGCAACAUAUAAAACAUAAGCUAAGUUGGCCCUAUAGCGCAGAUAAAUGUCACUAUAUCCCGUUAGAAGCACUAAAUUGUACAGAUGUGUUGUUUAGCAGGAUUCUAGAGGUUAUUACCACGGAAAACAUUCAACACACAUCUCUAUCCAAUUGUGAUAAUCAUACAUGUUAGCACAUUAUUAGACAUAUCUGUAGUAUGCUAAGUGUAACAAUAUGGCCUCUUCUACUUUGUUGAAGCAUCGUAUCAUGUUAUAAAUAUAACGAAAAAUCUUCAAGAUCCGCUUGUAAAUCCCCAAGUACAUAAAUUCCCAUUCAAUUUAGAAGUCCGACAAGAUGCCAAGGUCGGCUCAUUGGGGGCAUUCCUCAAGUAUGUUACAUGACUUGACUAUAUAAUUUUAUUUCCCAUGUAGAGGUAGAAGAAAACCGCCCUCAAUACUGGAUCCAUCCAGAGAUGGCGGCAGUUUACAACCUCACAUCGACUGGAGACUAGCAUCGCCCUUGGAAAUGCCCUUGUAUUGCUGCUAACGUAUUUCUCAUUUCCCAAUAAACUGGAUGCAUUCAUGGAACAUGUAUGCCAAUCUUUCCUUUUAUUCAAUCACCAACAACAACAUGAUGCACGACUCAACAACACAUGUAAGAAGAAACUAUACUUGGCCACCACGUGAACAAGCACACUUAUGAUUUACAUACUGAGGUUACUAAUUUAGAUAACACAACAUAAACUGACGCACAAGACAGAGACACAAUUGACUUCAUCAUUGCCAGACAACAUGGAUGAGAACGCGGCUGCUCUCACCACUUUUGAGGCCACUUCUUAUUUCUUAGGCUGCGGCUGCUUCUUCUUAGCCAUCAUCUCUUUUUCUGAGUCAGCCUCACGUUUAUCCUACGGUUACGCCCCUUCUUAGGAUUCCUUCGUUGUGCCCCCGGCUUAUUGGUUGACGGUUGCGUUGGCCUGUUAGGGGGAACCGUUGUACCUGGAACCUUUGGACCUGACUUGUCCAUGACGCCUCCUCCCCUCCUCCUCCUACUCCUCCUCCUCCUCCUCCUUCUUCUUCUUCUUCUUCUUCUUCUUCUUCUUCGCUUGUGCAAG